rnacentral:lncRNA from 1 species
UCUCUCUCUCUCUCUCUCAUCCGGUUAUCCAAACUUCACACACACAUAAAGAAAAACGGCCGGCUGCGAUCGUUUUUCCAUCUACAGGUUCCGGCGAGUAUACGAGCGGAUUUGGUGGAAAUAACGGCGUUGCAACGAUGGCUGGAGGAGCAGCCGAACAGCAGUACGCGAAGGCGAAGAUAUCUGUCUGGUGGGACAUAGAGAACUGCCAGGUACCUAAAGGCUGUGAACCUCAUUCGAUCGCUCAGAAUAUAAGUUCUGCUUUGGCUAAUAUGAACUACUGUGGGCCAGUGUCGAUUUCCGCUUACGGCGACACCAAUCGGAUCCCUGCCUCUGUUCAGCAAGGCCUCAACAGCACCGGCAUCUCUUUGAAUCACGUGCCCGCCGGUAUAUACCCUUAUCAAACCUACACUUACACGCUUAAUUAUAUAAAACCUGAGUUUAAUUUGAUGUUCAACUAGAAAUGGGUGUUGUGUUUAUCUUGCUUUGACUUCAGAUUGUGGUGAAAAUCGAAACCCUAACACCACGUAUACAGAAAUCUGUUUAUUCAAAUUCAUACAUACUCAAUUCGACUGUUCACUGCUCUUUUAGAGUUUAUUUAUAUUUGAGAGCUUUCAAGAAGAUCUGGUUAUUAGUUGACAUUUCUUAGUUCAGUAGAGAAUGGAUUGCAUUAUAAUUUAUACUCUUCUUUUUAAUGAUCAGGUGUGAAAGAUGCAAGUGACAAGAAAAUUUUGGUAGACAUGUUAUUUUGGGCAGUGGAUAACCCUGCCCCAUGCAAUUAUCUGUUAAUUUCUGGUGAUCGGGAUUUCUCAAAUGCAUUACAUCAAUUAAGAAUGAGGAAAUACAACAUUCUUUUAGCUCAACCUCAGAAAGCUUCCAUUUCCCUCCUUGCAGCUGCUAAAAGUGUAUGGCUAUGGACCAGUCUUUUGGCUGGAGGUCCACCAAUAACUACCGGUGAAUCACCCACACCUGAUACCACCUACAACCACACUCCACCUCCUAACUCACUACAUACUCCGGCUCCCGAGUCAACUCAUAUGCAUCAACCCUUUGACAACCACAUGUAUCCACAUCCACAUCCCCAGCAAUUUGCAAAUAUGGCAAUGCCUCCUAACUAUCUUUCUCAUCUUCAAAGGGCCAUCCAAGAGGCCAAUUAUAUGGAAGAAAAAACCCGUUUAUCUUCAAACCCGGGUGAGAAACGAAAAUUUGAAGGUUCGCCUGGAACCUCAUCUAAGAAAAAUCGCGUCACUAAUAAUAAUAAUAAUAAUAAUAGUAAUAGUAAUAAUAAUAAUAAUAAAGGAAAGAAUCCUAAGAAGGGAGGGAUUCCUCUGUGUCUAAGUUGUAACAAAUAUCAUUCGGGUGAGUGUCGGUGCCCACGAUGUUUCCGAUGUGGACAGUUGGGUCAUAUAAGCACUGACUGCCUGAAUAAAGAAAUUACGUGUUUCAGAUGUGGUGAAGGUGGUCACAAAUCUGACACGUGUCCAAAGAAAUAUGUUUUACCUAAGAAAGCUAAUAAGAAAAAAGUAUCCCCCAUAAAAAAAGAAGCGAGUGAUGCUUCACGAUGUUACCUCUGUGGGAAUUUGGGUCAUAAAAGAUCCAAUUGCCCGAAUGAAGGUCAACAGGUAACAUGUUUUGGAUGUGGUCAACUUGGUCACAAAGCUGGUGAGUGUCCAAAGAAUAAACAGAAUGGUGAAAGUAGUAAGAAAGCUGACACAAGUCCAAUUAAAGAAGAUGAUGGUUCAACUUUAAGUGCAUUAGCUAAGAAAACCGAAUUACAAUCCGAACCGCAGAUCGUACAAGUAUUAAACAUGAAUACCGCAGAAGCGGUGGUGGUGAUUCCUGAUGUGAAUGUGGUCUCAGGUAUGCAUUAUUUUAUUUGAUCAGGGUGCAAUUUUGUCAUUUAUAUCGGUUGUGUUUAGUCAUUUAUAGCCAUCCAAGGAGUAUUUCAUAUGUAACUGCAAAGCCACUUUUUGCAUGUUAAUAUAUGUAGAGUUUAUCAACUAUGAAAGUUGUUUGGAGGUAACCUACAAACAAAGUUGUUCAAGAUAUAGGUCAUUGUAACCUGCUAUAGCAGGUUUACCGCUUACCUCUCAUAAAUCCAUUUUUUUCCACAUUUUUGCCCCCAGUUUUAAUUUGGUCGCAAACUUUUUUCUUCCAAAUUUAUUCUCUCUCUCUCUCUCUCUGUGUGUGUGUGUGUAUAUAUAUAUAUAUAUAUAUUAUAAUUAUUUGUAUUUAACGACAUUAGUAAUAUGUUUUGUACAUUUUUUUACAAGUUCAUUUUACAAACUUGUUUUUUACUACGCUUUUAAAUAAAUUAGUAAAAACCUGCAAAAUUGGUUUUCAUAUUUUUUUUACAUGCUUAUUACAGUUUUUUUUCCCUUACGAAUUAAUUUUUUAUUUUUUGGUAAAAGAACGACUUUAAAAAAUUGUUGUCUUACAGAUUUAUUUUUCAAAAGCUCACAAAAAAGAACUUCUAAAAUAUUGUUUUUUUUUUUUUACAAUUUUGUUUUCUACAAUCUUAAAAAAUCUGUAAAAAUGAAAACUAGUAUAAAGCAUGUAAAAACGAAUCAGUGCAUGUUUUUUACAAAUUCUGUAAAAAAGUUGCUAGAAGCAAACUUAUAAAACAUGAGUUUAAAAAGAAAAAGAUGUAAAAAGUGGUUGGGACCAAAUUUGUAACAAAAACUAAACUUGUGGCAAACUUGUAAAAAGAAGUUGGGUAAAUGACAGGUGAUCUAUUUUGAACAAGUUUCAUAGUUGGUUAUUACCUCUACAUUUUAGCUAUAAUUGACAUUAAUUUCUUUUUGGAAUCGAAUGGAUUGCCUGGGUGUGGGUGAAAAUCUGUUUUGGAAAAAGAUAGAUCCAUGUUUGUGUUUGUGUUUGUGUUUGUCUACUGGAAAGGAUGCAAAACUUUUAUAGGAAUCACCAAACCAAAGAAAGCCAUGAGAAAAGUUAUUUAUUUAUUUAUUUUAUUUUUUCGUCUGCAUAUGUAAGUAACAUUGAUGCAAAGAAAGGAAUGAGUGAGAACACAUUUCGUGUAUGGGUCCGGGAAGUAAUCUAUGGACAUGUGGAUUGCUCUUCAGCAUCUAUCACAUGGGUUUAUUUUUAUUUUCCCAUUUACUAACUCAUUACUCAUUAGUGUGUCUAAGAUGUCAUCAAUUAUUUGAUUUUGACUUUCCUUACACAUACAUCUGAUUCUGAUAUGUGUAUCCUCAUAUUAUUUACACAUGGGCAUGUUUUAUAUUUGAUUUUAGUCGUGUUUAAAAAGCUCAUGACUCACUAGAUGUUUUGUCAUCUACGUAUUUUUCUUUCGGUGUGCAGCUGUCCAUGUAAGUCAUGAAGAUGGAUUAUCUAGCCCUCCCUUCUGAGACUUAAGUAAGACUACUUGUAGAUGCCUUUAAAUUUGACUUAAUCUUUUUCAAAAAUAAUCAUGCCAAGUCUAGUUAGUGAGGUUUUUUGUUUUUAUACCGGGAUUUAGAUUUCUAUGCUGUGACAAGUUUUCUGGUUACCUUUCAUAUCCUUUGAUUUUUUUAUUUUUUUUUUUGGUAUUUCUAGGGUUUUCCUCAUACAAGACUUGCCUUGAGUUGAGUUGAAGUUUUCAAAAAGAUGUUCUAAUCUCUUGUUUGAACUGUUUGGCUUACCAUGGUUGUACAUUUUAAAUUUAUUGAACAAAAAUCUGCACUUAUCUUAUGGUUCAUUUCUUUAUUUUUGCAUUUUUUUAGUUGAUCGACACUCUCCUUUGAAUGGAGAAAGUAUAUUUUAAUAUUGUGCUUUCAUUUUUUUCGUUUUCUUUCUAUCAAGACACUGCUUUGAAAAAUGUAUCCAAUCGUUUGAUUUAUCAAGUUUCUAUUUAUUAAGAUGUUAUAUUUUGAAAAAUCUAUCUAAUUAUAACAAUGAAAAUAUUUUUUGUAUUUGGAUGACAUUGUUAUAAUUGGAUAGAGUUUUCAAAAUGCAAAAUUUUAGUAGUAUUUUCGUAAUAAACAAAAAAAGUAUAUUGUUAUUUCUUUCGUUUAACCAUUAUCUAUCAGCUUGUCUCUCACUGUCACUCUAUUGUUACAUGUAUCUUCAAAUUUUACUGAAUAAUAACAUUGUAUUUUCAAUAUUUUUGUUAGAAGUGGCACAUUUUACUUUAAAAACUUUACCCAUAAUAUUAUGAAAAUUUAUUUUGUAUAUGGAUGAUAUUUUUUUAUUUGGGUAGAUUUGUCUACAACAAAAUUGUAUAAGUAGAAAAAAAAAAUGUAAGUAUGAUGCUAUGAUAAAAAUAUAACUGAAAGUACCUUGCUAUGUCUAGCAUGUAACCAUUUACCAAUACAUCUAUUGUCACAUGGCUUCUUUUACUAGUUUGUAAUUCCCAUAUAUCUUGAAAAUCUAUCCAGUUAUAGCAUGGUAUAUUGAAAAAUAUACCAAGUAUAACUUUGUACAAUGUAUUUUCAUAAUCUUUUUUUAUCACAACAUUGUAUUUUUUAUUAGGACAUUGUACUUUAAAAAAUCUACCAACUUAUAACAAUAAAAAAUAUUUUGUAUUAGAUGACAUUGCUAUAAUUUAAUGGAUUAUACAAAUAAAAAAAGAUGUUAUAAUAAAAGUAAAUAAAGCUAUGUUCACAUGUAUCUUAAAAAUUUAUGUAAUUAUAGCAUUGUACUAUCAAUCAAUAUUACUAUGACAUUGUACUCUAAAAUUCAUCCAAUUAUAACAAUGAAAUUGCUUUUUAGAUGGAUAACAUUUCUAUAAAUGGAUAAUUAAAAAAAAUGUUACAAUAGAAAGAAAUUUAAGUAGGAUGUUUUAAUAAACAAAUAAAUAAAAGAAUGUUGUUAUUUUUAGUUUUUAAUACUUCGUUGUAUCUUAUAAUAUCUCUUUUGUGACCACGUAUCAUAGAUGCACGUGACAAUAUUUUUUGGUGGACAUGUUAUUUUGGGAAAAGUUGAAAACCUGCAUAUUUCCUAGUGGUUGAGACUUCUUCUCCAAUGUCUUAAAUCCGCUAAGAAUGAGGAAAUAUAACUAUCUUCUAGCACACCCUCAGAAAACAUAUGUAUCUAUCUUUACAACCGCCAAGGGUGUAUGAUUAUGAACUAGUCUUUGGCUAGAGGACUACCAAUACUAAUGGUGAGUCAGUCACAUAUGAUAAUACCAAUAUAUAUUCUAAUUUUUUGUGUUGGCUUAGAUGGCUCAAAUAAACCAACCCUUAGAUAUCCAAAUACCUAAUACCUAUCUGGUAUUGGAGAAAUUUCAAACAUGUGAAUGGGUUAUAUGGAUGUAAAGAAGCAAGUAUAUUUGUUCACAAAGAAUAUACUAGUCGUGGUAUCUCUUAUCCUCGAGAAAACUACCGAAUCUAAUUGCUUUCGUGACGGGGGGAUUGCCUCAUGACUAUCAUUCCCAUCUUAUAUCUAUUAAGUAUUAACACGCUUCACAAGUUCAUCCAAGAGACCAAAUAUAUCAAAGCGAAUAUGUGUGAUAAAACAGAUUCAUCUUCUUAAAAGUUAUUGUAAUGGCAAAGGAAAGAGUUACAUGUGAACAUUCUUUGGUGGCCACAUUGUAAUUCUUUUUAAAAAAAGGUGUUUGGUUUAGUAAUUUUUCUUGUUGUUACUAUUCGGAGAAUUGGGUCAGAAAAGACGUAAAUGACCGAGAGAACAACAUUUGAUGUAUUUUAGAUAUGGUUAAAGUGGUUGUAUAGUUGAUGUUGGGGAUUGCCUCAUGACCAUCGUUCUCCUCUUAUAUAUUAUUAAGUAUUAACACGUUUCACAAGUUCCUCCAAGAGAUCAAAUAUAUCAAGGCAAAUAUGUGUGAUAAAACCGUUUCAUCUUCUUAAAAGUUAUUGUAGUGGUAAAGGAAAGAGUCACAGUUGAACAUUCCUUGGUGUCCAUAUUGUAAUUCUUUUAAAAAAAUGUGUUUGGCGUAGUAAUGUUUCUUAUUGUUACUAUUUGGAGAAUUUGGUCAGAAAAGACGUAAAUGCCCAAAUAUAAAACAACAUUUGACGUAUUUUAGAUGUGGUUAAAGUGGUUGUACACUUGAUAUUGGGGAUUGAUGUUCAAAACAAUAAUAUAUUAAACAAACAACAGAAGCAAUAAUAUAUUUUAAAAUUUUCAAUCUCCAAAGCAAUAGAUCGAUUUUGAACUAAUCAAAUCAAUAACAUUCAACCAUAAGUGUUCUAGAUUAUUAAAUUAAUAAUGGCUACUAAUAAUGGAUACUAACUGUGAAUUAAGACAAUCUUAAUGGUUGAUCCAAACAGAGUAGUAAAUACGAGCCGCUAGAAUUCCAUUAUUAGUAUCCAUAAUAAAAAGUUUCAUUUUUAACUAAAGAGAAAUUAUUGUUUUCAAUCAAACCUAAGUCAUAAGAACCCAAGAUCAAGUACAAAUGUUCCAAAAUCAAAUGUAUCAUAACAUCUCCAAAAUAUAUCACCAAAGGAUGUGUAUGAUAACCUCCUUGCUUUCCUCCGAUCAUCUGAAGUACCUGAAAUAUAAAACUUAAAUUAUAAGCCAAAACAUAGUGAGUUCCCCUAAAGUACAACACAACCAAUACAGAUAACAACAUGAAUAUACGAGUUUUCAGCUUAACUGGACCGCCUCGCAGGGCCUACAACCUAUCUGGACCGUUCUUCGGGCCUUCGGCCUGACUGGACCGCCUCGCAGGCCUUUAGUCUAUCUAGACUACACCGGGUAUCUUGGCCUUCAGCACAAAGCAUGACCACAUCAACCCAACAAACCAUAACAUCUCGACAUAUAUAAUAAUAAUCAAUAACCAACAACACAAGUAAUCAUACAGAUCUACCAAUCUAAUGCACACUCAAUGAACACAUGUAAUCAUAUAGAUCUACCAUGCUAACACAUACUCAACAUAACAUCAAUCCAAUAUACCAAGAUACGUAAUCCAGUGAGCCGACAUUGGUGCCUUCGACCCACAAGUAUUGUAAAGAAAACUCACCCCACAGUCUGAAAGGAUAGCUUAACAGAUCACAACUCCAACUGUUGACUCUACAUGUCACCUAUACAACAAACAAUGAUCUAGUCUCAAACUACAAUUUAAAAUACCUAAAAUACCCUUCGGUUAAACUUGGUUAAAAUCCUAGUUAAAGUCAAGGUCAAAAAGUCAAAGAUUCCUUUUGGAUUGUGUACGCCCUGCAUACACACUCUACGCCUAGUAUAUAGGGUGCCCUUCCAAAACACGUGUUCGAACCCUCGUACGCGCAGCGUACCUCCAGGUACGUCCAACGUACCAGAGCUAAAUCCCAACUUUUCCAUUAAGUUCUUAUUUCGUUAAGCCAAAGCACCAAACUUCAGAUCUAAUUUAAAAGGGACGUCCUAAUGGAUAAAGUCUCUGACUUUAUCCGUUUGCAUGCAUACAAGAGGGUAAAAAGUCAAACCCUUGGUCUAAAAGUCAUCCAAAGUCCAAAUACACUUGCAUAGCUCAAAUAAGAGUGUCCAAGCUCUCAUUUUUAUGAAUCUAUGAGCUCAAAGCUAUAGGAAACUACAUUUUAAGGACCUAGAGUAGCUCAUACUCUAUUAGACUAAACUAUGAGACCAAAAAUGCAUACAAACUCUAGACUAACAAGAUCUAAGCAAAUAACACAUCAAGAUCCAAGCUUAUACCUUCAAAUGAUGCUUGAGGACAAGAUAAUUCUAGAUCCAAGAUGCCUUGAGCUUCCAAGUUGAUUCCACUUUUUUCUUCUUCCUUCAAGAUCACCAAAAGCGUACUUUCAAGCUCAAUGAUAGUUUCAUUUUAUUUACUUCUUUUUAUAGUUUAUUUUAACAAAUUUCAUUCAUAAUUUGUUUAAUUUGCAUGCAUAUUUUCCUUCUUGUUAUUUUAUGACCAUUUCGGGUACUUUCUAGUUUCGUGAGCAUAAUUGCAGAUUUUUUGGAGACUAGAGGAGCGGGAUCUUUGGGAGGCGACUGGACUUGGUAGACAAUAAAGAUUUUUGGGCUUAAUAUCUAAUGGAGGUGAUACCAUUUUGGAGCAUUGAAGAAGAUUGUCUCUUAAUUAAACGAAGAUGGAAGAAUUUUUCAAGCGUGCGAGAAUUAAUGAUCGGACGAUUUCGAGAGCUUUGGAGGAUUUGGAAAAAGGCAAAUUGGGCUCAAAUUGAAGAAAACUUGAAGAAAAACGGGCUAGAAGCUGAUCGGACUCAAACUGGGCUAGUGGACUAAGCAGUGCAGACCCAACAAAUGGAAAAGGCCCAUUUUCCAUCAGUUCACGUGACCCGAGUAAGAUUUCCACACGGCCCGCGUGAGUUCAUACAUGGACAAAUUCGUGAUUUUACUUUUGGCUUCUAUAUGAAGAAGUUUGGUGGGAUUCUUUUGGAACUCUUGGACAUUCGAAAACUCAUCAAUUCUUUGGAGAUUUUGGAGCACUUUGAAGGCCAAGAACCCUCAAGAACUUCAUUAUUUUUGCUCUUAAUCUUGUUGAAUGUUUGGUACAAUCUCUUCUAACUUUAUUUUCUUGUGUUUAGCCAUGUUAGGCUAAACCAAAUUUGGUUGACUUUGGUGAAAUCCUUUGACUAGUUGAAUAUUGAAGACUCCAUAAACUUGCUCUUGAAUCUUUAUAGGAAUGUUUUGUGUUUUAACAUAUUAUCACUACUUAUAUGUUUUUAUUCAUGAGUUUAAAUGUAUUUGUGGUGAUUAGUUGACUAAUUUCUUGAUUAAGUAAAAGAUCCUCAACAUAGCAAGCAACAAAUGAUUUUGUGUUAGUUUUACUUCACACAAUCAUAAAAACAUUUUCUCCAACAUGGUAGUGAAAACAUUUGAUUCCUUUUAAAUUUGUUGACUUUUUGGUUCUUAAUGCUAGUUGAUUUUCACUAAUUACAUGCUUAAUGGAAAUUGUGACUUUGACUAAGGAAAUUGUUAUGAGCUUCUCUAACCAUUUUAAUAACUAAGAAAAGUCUAGGUAAUCUCAAGCUUCUUAGAUUAUUAUAGCCAAAUUAAGGAUUUAAAACAAGUAUUGCACCAUUGGAUUCUAAUGAUAUGUUCAUCAAAAAGUCAAAGUGAGGAAACCUUAAGUCAACCAUCUUUCUCUUAUUGAUUAUACAUCAAGUUGUUAUUUUGUUGAAUUAUUUAUUUAAGUUUUAGUUUAAUUCUAGUUUUAAUUUAAGUGUUUCAAAAAGAUCAAACCCCCCCCCCCCUUUUUAUUUUUACUGUCAUUUUACAAGUACUUUUACAAAGUGAUUUUUCAUUGAAUAACAAAUUGAACCAGUCUCCGUGGAUUCGACCCCUUUACCAAUAUGCACUAUUUUAGUGUAAAAGAUUUAGGGUUAUUAAUUUUGUUGGCCUCAACAGCUAUCAAAUUUUGGCGCCGUUGCUAGGGAUUGGUUUUGAUAUAAUCAGUUUGUUUAUCUAUGACUAGAUCUCAUUGUGCAGGUACUCUAAUUUAAAACCCCAAAAUAAAAGAAAAAGUAUGGUUUGGAAAUGAACACUCUUUGCAUUGAAUACCAACUUUCUGAGAUAGCUCAGUUAGUUAUGAUGAUUAGAAGUGACCAAAGUGUGCAACCCACAACUCUUCCUUGCAAUAAUUUCGCCCAAAAUGGAGAUCAUUCUAAUAUGUGUCCAUAUUCACAACGAGAAUGGGAAGAAGUGCAAGAAAGAGGAAGCUACUGCUGGUCAAACCAAUGGAGUUAUGAUCAACCUCAACAUGAUCAAUGGUGGGACAACGACCAAGCUUGGGGAUACAACCAAUAACAAAGUCCAUACCAAGAUUGGAGAAGUGACCAAUACCAACCAACUCUACAAUUCCAACAUCCAUAUCCUCCACCUCCUCUACAACCUGAAAUUCCAAGUAUGUACUUUGAGGACAUUGUGAAAACUGAAAAGCAUUGCGACAUCUACCCAAAAUUUCCAAGAAACAGCCCAAGCUAGCCUCAAAAGCUUAGAGCAACAAAUAACAAAACUUGGUCAAUCAAUAAGUAUAAUGGAAGCUCAAGACAAACUACCACACGAAGGGAGACCAUGGCAUAGCGCAUGUGUCAUUCCUUUCAAAGAUGAGAAAAGUUUUGAUGGCCCAAGAGUGUUAUAUUGAGAAGAGGAAGGAGUAAGUGGAGGAGGCUGUCAAGAAGGAAGAACAAAUUGAGAAAUAUGUCAAUGAAACUAUAGAGGACAUGUUAGGGGUUAACGAAAGUGAGUUUGAGCCACCCACUACCAUUAAGAAACUAACUCCAGUGGUAGACCAACCACAAGAGUCGAAAACGAUAAAUUUGUCGGACCCUUUAAAUGAUACAUAUCCCGAGAAAGAAGACGCCCAACCGGUCACCAACUCGACCACCAUGUCAAAGAUGAAAGAGUUGGUCACCUUACUAAAUAAGUACAAGAAAGAAUAUGGUUGAAUGAUUGCUAUUAUCAAAGGUCUAAGUCCAGUAUGGUUCUCCCAUGAAAAGAAAGUCAAAUACAAGAAAAGAGUCCCAAUGGAGGUAUGGAAACUAAAAAAUGUCGACACGGGGCACGUUUUCAAGGUUAAUGGACAUCGGUUGAAGCCUUUUUAUGGAGGUUUUGAUGUAAAUUUCCAAUUCAUCAUCCGUUUGGACACCCCAACAUAUUGAAGAAAAGAUUGGAGGAAGUCUCGCCAAGGACGUUAAAGAAAGGCAUUUUUGGGAAGUAUUGUGCUUUCGUCUUUUAUAAACCGAAUAAAAUGAUUUUGAAAAUGUUUUUUGUUUUGAAAGUGUUCAUUUUUGAAAAAAUUCAAGCUUUAUUCUCACCUUUGGUUCAAACUUUUGUUGUGUUUUUCAAACCGGGACUUUACGAGAAUCAUUUUGGCCAAAAAUGAGGUUUUUGGAAAAUUUCAAAUUUUGAAGUGUAGGAAGUCAAGCGGCCAGCGUGCGGGUUCCACGCGGCCCGCGUAAGGUCAUUUGCGGCUUAUGUGUGGCCCACUCCUUGUCCGCAUAGAAGAAUUACCUCCAACCCUGUUCAGCACAUGCGGCCAGCGUGCGGGUUCCAUGCGGCAUGCAUGACUGGUUUCAACACUUAGUAUUUUUUUGAGCUUCAGUUCAUGCGACCUCUACGUAGCCAUUGUGCGGCCCGCGUGGUUCAACCCAAAAUUCUUCUGAACCUUCUGUGGACUCGAGAGAAAAGAAAGAAUGUUACACGCGGCCUCUACGUGACUCAUGUCCUACCCGCACGUAACAUGUUGACUGGUCUUUAAGUGUGUUGACAUCCAUUGACCAAUGUUGACUUAUGUUGACAUGAGGAUUAAAUGCAACAUUUCUCCUUCCCUACAUCUUCUUUUCCCUCUCAAGAACACCCACCUCCAUUGAAGCCCCACACAAAAACUCGAUUUCCCGAAGAUCUACCCGCCGGAAUCCCCCGACCCUCCGAUUUAGGUCAUUUCUUCCCUUUCCUUAAGCAUUGAGGAUAAUGCUUGUUCUUAAGUUUGGGAUGGGGCAUUUCCCAUUUUCUUUUAUUUUUUUUCAUGCAUUUUUAGUUAGGUUGCAUAUCAUUUUAGUUUUAGGUUAAUUUGCAUUCAUUUUUUAUUUUUUAUAAAAUUCCAAAAAGAUUUUAUUUUCUUCUUUUCCGCUUUUUACUUUUGCAUAACAUCCCUUGGAUGUCAUGGAACAUGUUCAUAGUUAUUGUAUCAUUAUUGGUCCAUGAUCUUGUUGUUAUCUCACACAUCUAAUCAGGACCAUUAGCUGCAGUUUGGGACUUCAUACUUGGGAUCAACUACUAGAGCUUAAAGGGGUAAUUGAUCAUGGCCAGGUAGUUUCAUGAAGAAUUAUGCAUGCAAUACUAACAACUGUAUGAUAUACUAUAGCAAUGGAUGUUCUUAGCCCUGCGAUCUAUACCGCUGAGAGGAUCACACUUGAUCAUGUUUGAACCGUUAGGAUGAAGCACUGGUGCUUGUCCCCUAGUAGAAUCCAUAUCCGGUCUCUUUACAUCACCGUUUUUUUGUGAUUUUCUUAGGAUUCUAGAGAGUCUUUUAGUCCACAAUUGGACAUUUUCAUAUUUUUUUGGGAAAUCACAAGUUUGAAAAGGAGCUUACAUCUUUAUGCUCCACACAUGGUCAUUUUCACAACUUAGACCAUUUAGAUUACUAUUAUUACCCUUCGAUUCCACUUACAUACUUUUGGGAACCAAAUUUUGAGUCAAAAAUUUUCUUGAUAAAAAGCAAAAAUUAAAUACGUUAGUGCAUUUCUAAAAAGAAAAAAAAAAUUCAAGCUGCAAUUAUCUUAGAUAGGUGACCGGUUCAAUUAUUAAACAAAUUUUCCCACAUUUUGGUCACCCGACGUUUGAUAUUCAUUUAUAUAGGUUUGUUUUAUUGUAUAUAGAUUGAGUUGUUUCUUUUCGCAAAUUAGUGAUUGUCAUAGCUAUGAAUUUGAAGCCUUGUAAACAUUUAACAAUGAUAACAAAUGUAAACCAACAAUGGGAAAGCAUGUAAGAUGCUUAUUCAUUAACAACCAAAUCUCAAUCAAACACAUCAUACAUGCACUGUAAAUAGUCAACAAAUAAUUGGGAACCCUAGAAAUCCUUGUUUAAGUCCAUUUUGGACUAGGAUUUCCUUAUUGGGCCCAAUGGGCCAAUAAGCUACCAAUUGGACUAUCUUGGGCUUAGAACUCUUGAAUGGGCUCUAAUUAGACCCACUUUCAUUUAUUUUAAUAUUUUGGGCCAUAUUGGGCCUAGAAUGAAACAAAAAUAUUUAAAUGGACCGUAUUGGGCCUUAAUUAACCUAAUUUAGCUCUAAUAGGUCAUAAAAAAUCAUAUUUAUAUUUAUUUGGGCCAAACAUCACUCAACAUAACCAUGAAAUGGGCUUAAGCAUACAAGGCCCAAUCCUUUUCUUUUCCCCUCUCCAUUCUCGGCCCAAGCCCAACCAAAGAAGGAGAGUUGACUUUUCCUAUGCCACCUCACAUUUAUCCAUAGGUUUCCCAUGCACCAUCUCAUGUUUUCAUGCAAAUCAACUCAAAAACCUCUUUCUUCUCCUCUCUCUUUUGCUCUCGGCCGAACUUAAGCACACACACACAUUUCACUCACAAUUCUCUCAAGAAAACUCUCUCCACUCAUCUCCAUAUUUUCGAGAUUACGGAAGCUUUCAAGGAGAUUUAACCCAUGAACACAUCAUCUAAGGUAAGUUGAUGUUAGAUCCAUAAUCUAGCUAUUUCCUUUCAUUCAAGAAUCAUCUCUUAAUUCAUUCAAACUCAUGAUCUUGCACCUUAGAAGCAUCUAAGUUCGAGAUCCUCCAAGAAAGGUUGCUAGGAUCGAAUUUUUCUUCAUCUUCUCCAUCAAAAACUAAAACCACACUCAAGGUGAGUUUCAAACCCCUUCCUUUUUGGUUUUUAUGAGUUUUAUGGGGGAUAAUAUAAGUAAAUGUGUAGAUCUAUGUGUAAAUGUAUGCUAUGUGAGAUUUGAUGCAUGUAUGUGUGUGAUAUCAUGUGUUUUGUGAUGAAUAUGUUAUCAAAAAGUGUGUAAAAACCGAGAUCUAAGGCAUGAGAAAGGAAAUAAACAUAACUUAAGUUAUUAUACACUGAUCAAGUCAAUAAAAAUAGUUUAUGAGGUUAGGAUGAACACAUCCUAACAUAAAACACAUUUUAGGACUUAAAAUGUCAAAAAUACAAAACUUAGGGUACAAACCGACAAAUUUAUAGUUUCUGGAGGGUCAAAAGGUUCCAAACAGUUUCUAUAAUAAUUUUUCUGAACAACAACAUUUGUAAGGGACUUAAAGUGUAAAUUUUGAACUUAAUGGGCUAGAUUUGGGCUUUUCGGCCCAAUAAGCCUCAAAAUGCGAGAUUUAUAAGUUUGAGGGGCUCAAAAUGCAAUUUUCUGUAAAACAGGGGAUUUGAAGUGAGAUAAAACUAUUUCAAAUGUCAAAAAUGCUUUUCUAAUUCAAAAAGGAUAAAAAAUGUAAACAUAUUCUAUUUUGGGCCAAAACUGUAAAAGUUGCAAAAUUGGGGAUUUUAACCGAGAAGACUUCAUUAUGGAAGGGCUAAAGCUGUUUACAAAAUAAAUUUUGGGUUAAAAAUGUCUUUUCAACAAGUUUAUGAUACAAAAGUGUCAAAAAAAAUGUUUUAAGGACUAAAAAUGAAAUUCUUUUAUAUAAAGGACUAAAAGUGUUAUUUUUAUAAAAGAAAGGUUGUGAAAUGGUAAAAAUCUUACUUUUAAACAAAUUAAUUCAUUAAGACAAAAUACAAGAUCCACGACUACCGACGAAACAGAAAAACAAAUACACUCUCAACAACAAAUAUCGUUACAAAACGAAUUGAUUCGGUCUCGAAUCAAUAACAAAACAAAAAUCAAUAACCCAAGUAAUUCGUUAAACACGCGACAACUAUGAUGAGUCAACAUACAAACUUUGGGCUUGAAAGUUUCAAAUCGUGCUUGUUGGGCCUUGCUAGCCCAAUAAUAGGAUCUUUGGGCCCGAAGGGAACGCACUUACGUGUUAAUGGGCCUCCUAUGACCCAAUUCCAUGUAAAAGGACUUUCAAUAGCUCUAUUGUGCUAUUGGGCCCUAGGGGUCCAUUAGUACUGCUAGUGAGGUCGAGAAGUCAAAUGCGAGUUGGGCCAAGUGUCUUUCGCAUUCCUGAUAGCCCGGAAUAACUCAUGGAAGUAAGAGAGGGCUUCGUACCCUCCUUUCUCCUCGGUUGACCGACUUAUGAGAAUUCAAGUAAACAGAUUCGUGGCGUUAAUCAAGAGAAGUCAGGGUGGUUGGAUUAUGUGAGUAGUACGGACGACGCCUUAAGGAUCGUUCGUAACCUGUAGUUAUAAACUAGUCAUUUUCAUUAAUGCGUGAUUGUAACAACUCACAAACCCUAAUUAAUCCAAUGUCACCUGGGUAAUCAAAAACAUUCGUCGUAUCGGUAUAACAAUAAACAAGUCAUGUAAUUUACGUAUUGGGAAAACAUCGGGUUUUCCCGGGAAGUUCAACAUUUUCACCUAUGUGAUGUAUACAAAGUUCAACAAUUAUACAUGUUUUCAAAAUCGACAAGCAUAUUUACGGAUCUUCACACUUUUUAUAAACAAAUACUCUUUUCAGAAAAUAUCGGAUUUUCUGGGUUUUUCAAACUUCACAAAAAUCAUUUUUCCAUAACAUUACUUAUGAACUCACCAACAUUUCAUAUGUUGACGUUUUUCCAAAAUAACUUGUAUUCUCAGGUAACAGGUAAGCCGAAGAAUAAGUAUCAGGAAAUGUCAUGGUGUUUUGCUUAAAUUAUCUAUCAGACAGUUUAUGUUAUGGAAUUGUAAUACAGUUUAUGUUAUGGAAUUGUAAUGUCUAAGACAAUGUACCGAAUGUAAACAAUAUCAGUUGUAAUAUUCCAAUGCAUGGUGUUGAAUUAUGUUAUGAUUCAUGUAUAUUCAUUGUGAUGGUAUUCAAUUCGAGUCACAAGAGCCCUCGGACGUUUCCGCCGUCCGGUUCGGGGGUGUGAUAGUGAUGUUAGAGAGACUGUCGAGUCAGAUACUACGGGAGGUUUGGGCCAAUACUAAGUGAACUGAUUCCUACAACGGUGCCCGAGCGAUGAAACCCAAUCACACUUGAGAGUGGCCGACAAACGUGAGAUCAUGAAACUUUCGCGAUAAGAGUGUACACUUAAAAUAAAGAGCUCCAUACGAGCCCGUCCACUUGCUUUCUCCCUACUACAAAUGUUCUUCAUUGUAUGCAUGUUUCAUUGGGGCUGCGACUGACCAUCCGUCCUUACUCACCUAGAGGAGUUGUUCUGGCUGUGGUUUAUGAUUCCAUUGUCAUUGGAGGAAAAAUUCGUGAGAUAAUAGCAAGAUCAAUUCUGACCAUGUUGACAAACGGCGAUCAAGUUCCGCGAUUCUAUCUAUUCUUUUUAUUUUUCUUAGGAUAGUUCAUCCUAAGUUCAUUUUAGUCUUGUCUUACUUGAGGACAAGUAAGGUUUAAGCUUGGGGUGAUUUGAUAGUUUCAUUUUAUUUACUUAAUUUUUAUAGUUUAUUUUAGCAUAUUUCAUUCAUAAUUUGGUUAAUUUUCAUGCAUAUUUUCCUUUUUGUUAUUUUAUGACCAUUUCGGGUGAUUUCUAGUUUCGUGAGCAUAAUUGCAGAUUUUUUGGAGACUAGCGGAGCAGGAUCUUUGGGAGGCGAUUGAACUUGGUGAACAAUAAAGACUUGUGGGCUUAAUAUCUAGUGGAGGUGAUAUAUAAAAUGAGCUUUAGAUGGAUGGAGCAUGGAAGAAGAUUGUCUCUUAAAUAAACAAAGAUGGAAGAAUUUUUCAAGCGUGCAAGAAUUAAUAAUCAGGCGAUUUCGAGAGCUUUGGAGGAUUUGGAAAAAGGCAAAUUAGGCUCAAAAUGAAGAAAACUUGAAGAAAAAAGGGCUAGAAGCUGAUGACUCAAACUGGGCUAGUGGACUAAGCAGUGCAGACCCAACAAAUGGAAAAGGCCCAUUCUUCGUCAGUUCACGCGGCUCGUGUGAGUUCUUGCAAGGGAAAAUUCGUGAUUUUACUUUUGGAUUCUAUUUGAAGAAGUUUGGUGGGAUUCUUUUGGAACUAUUGGACAUCCAAAAACUCAUCAAUUCUCUGGAGAUUUUGGAGCACUUUGAAGGCUAAGAACCCUUAAGAACUUCAUCAUUUUUGCUCUUAAUCUUGUUGAAUGUUUGGUACAAUCUUUUCUAACUUUAUUUUCUUGUGUUUAGCCAUGUUAGGCUAAACCAAAUUUGGUUGAAUUGGUGAAAUCCUUUGACUAGUUGUUGAAUAUUGAAGACUCCAUAAACUUGCUCUUGAAUCUUUAUAGGAAUGUUUUGUGUUUUAACAUAUUAUCACUACUUAUAUGCUUUUAUUCAUGAGUUUAAAUGUGUUUGUGGUGAUUAGUUGGCUAAUUUCUUGAUUAAGUAAAAGAUCCUAAAAUUAGAAAACAACAAAUGAUUUUUGUGUUAGUUUUACUUCACACAAUCAUAAAAACAUUUUCUCCAACAUGGUAGUGAAAGCAUUUGACUCCUCUUAGAUUUGGUGACUUUUUGGUUCUUAAUGCUAGUUGAUUUUCACUAAUUACAUGCUUAAUGGAAAUUGUGACUUUGACUAAGGAAAUUAUUAUGAGCUUCUCUAACCAUUUUAAUAACUAAGAAAAGUCUAUGUAAUCUCAAGUUUCUUUGAUUAUUAUAGCCAAAUUAAGGAUUUAAAACAAGUAUUGCACCAUUGGAUUCUAAUGAUAUGUCCAUCAAAAAGUCAAAGUGAGGAAACCUUAAUUCAACCAUCUUUCUUUUAUUGAUUAUACAUCAAAUUGAUAUUUUGUUGAAUAGUUUAUUUUAGUUUUAGUUUAAUUCUAGUUUUAAUUGAAGUGUUUCGAAAAGAUCAAAACCCCCAUUUUUAUUUUUAUUGUCAUUUUACAAGUACUUUUACAAAGAGAUUUUUCAUUGAGUAACAAAUUGAACCAAUCUCCAUGGAUUUGACCCUUUUACCACUAUACAUUAUUUUAGUGUAAAAGAUUUAGGGUUAUUAAUUUUGUUGGCCUCGACAACCAUCACUUAAAAUGCUCACAUAAUGGAUUAGGGUUAGCAAGGGACGAUUUGGGAGAUGGAGGCUGGUGAGGGACAUGAUCAUGAGAAGUUAAUGAGGUUUAAAUAGUGCUCAAACCCUAAAAAUUAGGGUUUAGACAUUCAUCAUGUACACCCGGUGUACGCUGGAAUACGCCCAACGUACACACUCAAACCCGCGUUCUCAUGUAGGGACCAAAUUGCAAUAAAAUUCUACUUUGGGUCAAGAUUGAAAAUUACCUGAAUAACGAAAAUUACAAUUCUCCCCCACUUAAAUUAGAUUUCGUCCUCGAAAUCGCUCCCUAUUACACCCUAGGCCAUUCGGACAAGCCUUCCAGAAUCCCGAUCCGAACUAAGAAGUCGACUCACAUACCCUGACUAAUAAUGAAUCCUUAACCCACUAACUUUAACCAAAGAAGAAUAACCAUCAUACCUCUGCCAAAAAUCCGGAAAUCAAAUACCUUGUCGAACUCCCAAGAAGACAAAACCAUCUUAGAACAUAGUUAAUAUGACUUCACUUCGCAACCCGAAUCAUACGAAACCCUUCCGGCCACGAAUUAUCUUGCUGAUGUAACUAGAAAACACAAUCUCUAACUAUUCACUGUUGUUGAACCCUCCACUCGAAAACAAGGCGAUUCCUAACACGAGUCUCAACUAAAUAACCAUUGUGGUGAAACAGAAACAACGCCAACAUAUUCCACAAACUCCCUUUAAUCACUUCAAAAUCAAGACAUCUUAUAAAGAAAACUUGAGAGACCACUUGGAAACCCACCAGUGCCAACAAACAACCCAAUAUAGCUUGAGAAUAUUCAAUCGCAACAGCUAUCCUUCUCUCCUUAACUAUAAAACCCAACUUUUGGUGAGAAAAACAUAGUCGGGGACUCUCAAAACUACAAACACAACCUAAUUUCAUCAAUAUACUUACCGGAAUCGGGAAGCCAUUAGUUCUAAACUUCAGAAGCAAUAAUCUAAGACUGAUGAUCACCCAUUCGUCGUACCUAAUCCUAGUCCAUAAUUAGUAAAACCACCAAAACAUGCAGAAAGAAUACUCAAAACACACUGAUCGUGAAUUCCAUCCAUUCCCAAAUCCGGGAAUUAUGCCAAAAAAUCUUAAAUACACACUUGACUUCCUGACAAGUCAUCACCAACCCACUGCUCUCAUAAGCAUAAUGAUGGUCUGCCCAAAAAUUUCACCUUGAAUUCAAAUCCCUUAUCCACUCAGGUGUACAUGCCCCUGACAAAUCACUCGAGAAAUUUACAAAAAACUUCAUGACUCGAGCUUCCAUAAUCGAUACCCAACAUUGGUAACCAAACUCCAGAUAAACAACCCACAAGCAAAAGGGGUUCAUAAUGCAACACCCUGCAAGGGAGUUUUGAUGCACAAACAUUGCUCCUAAUAACCUUAAACUACCCACAUGAUCCAAACCAGCUGGUCACUGAGUCUCUCGACUCCCAUAAUGCACUAACACCCAAACAUGCCAAGAAGACUAACAAUCUGACACCUAAGAGUCUCAAUCAAAUGACUGUCGGGCUCUACCCAUAUGAAUUAUACAACCACUGGUUCACAAUACAUCGUGACACCCUUAAGCCACUAAACGAUAAGCUCAUAGUACUAUGUCGAUCUUGCUGUCAUCCCAUCAUUGUACCCAUGUCGAGGAUUUGGAUGAAGAAUAUCUUGAGGGAACGACAUAGUUUCUUGUGGGCAGGAAGAAUCCAAAACAGGUCAGGUAGUAAGUGUGGAGCAAGCUACCAUUAGGCCAAUGUGUCCUUGACCGACUGAUCAGGUGAUGUAGAUAAGAUAUUGAUUGAUUAAGGAUUAAUUGGGAAGGCCAAUUAACAUGGUAUUAUCCUAACACAACGAAAGAGCCGGUUCUGGUUGCGAUAGGGUUCAAGGUUCAAGCAAGGAAUAAUGUUCUUUGGGCAGUGGUAAGCAGUAGAGAAAAUGAUAUGGAUUCAUGGUUUGGUUCAGGUUGAGGGUUGUGUUAGGACCUCUCUACUUGUUCUUUUCUGAUGAAGGCUUUGGGGUUUGAAUCAUGACCCAAACACCUGCUAUAGUCCAGUGCUAUAGUCCAGCAGGGAGGGGUUCCGAUUCGCAGUGAUUUUGGUUAAGCGUUCUUGCGUGUAGUUAGUAAGACCAUAGUCUGGGCCCAUGGCGAUUGUUAAAGCGAUGUAAGACUGUGGAGCAGUCGUAGCAUUCACUAGGUUAGUACACAAUUGUGGAAGUGAUGUAAGACAAUGGAGCAUCCGUAGCAUUCACUGGGUUAGUAUGCGGUUGUAUAAGUGAUGUAAGAUUGUGGAGCAGCUGUAACAUUCACUAGGUUAGUAGGCGGUUGUGUCAGGGGUGGAAGUCUACUACUUGGCUCGAAGCAUUCUCUAAGAUGAUUUAGAUUAUCGUAGGAUUGGGUGAAGGGUUGUGAGUAGGCCACAUCAUUUGUAAUACUUGGGUAGAUCGUAUACUGGGUUGGGGCCGAAUGUGAUGUGAGAAUACAGUUUGGUUUGUAGCAAUCACUAGAGUGAAGCAUACUUGGUGAUCGUUCGUAUGUUGGCUGGUUGAGUUGCCUUUUAAUUGGAAUAAAUUAUUGUUAGAGUCGUAAUGGUAGAUGGGUUAGGACAACCUUUAUCGGUUUGACUCUUAAAGCUGGAAGUCAGUUUGGUGUUCGAAGUAGGAUUUCUAGCAUAGGUGGAUGGUCAGGGUUUAUGUUUUCCCAGAUAUCAGUGAAGUAGUUCAAAUCGGAUAGGUUUGUUUAAUUUGGUUUGCAAAGUUGAGUCAGGGGGGCGAUUUGGAAUGGUUGAAUCUGUUUGGAAGUAAGACAUUACAUAAGGUUUCCAGCUUCCAGGAAGAACGAUUAUUUAUUCUUUUAUUGUCUGAGGGUAGAAUAUUAAGGUUCGUUCUUGGUUAGGGUAUGCGAUUCUAUUGAGGUUGGGUUUUGCUAACAGUGUUGGUGAUCGGUCUUCGAUGUGAGAUGAUUGCUUAGCCUCAAUUAGAAGUUGGUUGGGAUAUGGCAUGAUAAGUAGUAAGGAAUGAUUUUAGGGACAAAAUCCAAUUUAAGUCGGGGAGAGUUGUAACAUCCUGUUUGAGGAUAUUUCUUAAUUCGGGAUUUGAGGACCAUAAUGCGAUCAUGUAAAGUCCUUGGACUUCAUUGGAAUGGAUUUUAGGCUCUAUUGGAGGUGUAUGAAGAUGACAAGUAACUUAAACCUUGGAUUGCUUGAUGAAAGUUGAAGGGUAAAAUGGGAAAAAUUGUGCUUCAGGCUUCAUGCAUAUAUUAAGGAUUUUAGUUCGAGAUGUUUUUAGUCAUAUGUAUCAAGAUAGAAUCGAAUAUCUCGUGAUACCUUUGUGAGGAUAUAAAGAUCUUCGAAACGGAGUUGGAACAAAGAAGUUAUGGUUAUUUGAAGUUAAGCCGGAAAAAUAGAGUCUGACAGUACGAUGGGCGUACAAUAGGAGUACGUUGGGCGUACUAGGCUGAGGAAGUCGCGUUUUUAGGGCGUUACGUUGAGCGUAACUUUAGGUACGCUGGGCGUACCACCAUAGAGUAAAAAUCCUAUUUUCAUGGUUUUGAUCUGUCACACCCCAAAACCAAGAACGACGGAAACGUUGUGGGGCGGAGGACAUCAUGUAUAGUAUCAUAACAAUGCAAAGCAGUAAACAAGAAAAAACAUCAUCCACUUCAUUAAUAGUAGAGUUUUAAUACAUGUAUGUUCUUUGUAAUUUAAUAGACACCAAAAAUGAAUGAUCAAAAUAAAAUACGAGUCUUGAAUGUGCUCCGUCUUCUCAAAACCUGUCACCAGUACCUGUCUACUGAUGACCUGAGAAUACAAGUUAUUUUGAAAGCGUAGAUCAGCAUUUAAGCUGGUGAAUUCAUAAGUACUUUAGUGUCAUUUAUUUGCAUAAUUUUGAUGUAAAUACUAGUAAAUGUUCAAUGUAAAUGUUUGUAUACGUUUGAAAACCCUAGAAAAUCCCAUAUUUCCUACUAGUAUAAAAUGUAGUCUUCUACCAAGACCCGACUGUUUUGAAGAUUUGCUUCUCUUUAUGAAUGAAGGUUUUUCCUAUAUACAACUAUUAUUAUCAAAACAUAGUCUACCUCAUCAUUUAUGUGAAUGUGUCACAAAAUAAAGAUAAUGGGGAAAAUUAUAUAGUCAUUGAAAUCGUAUCCAUUUGUCUAGGAUAAACACGACGCGGUAAAUCUCCGAACAAUACAACCGAGAACAUCCGUCGAUGAAUAGGUCCCGCUGUAGCUAGCAGCCAUGUGUAGGAUGGUCAGUCCCGUAUAGUAUGUAGUAAUUCUCCUUGUAUAGUAUGUAGUAAUUCUCCUUGUAUAUUAUAUAGUAUUUUUCUCCAUAUAGUAUGUAGUAAUUCUCUUUGUAUAGGAUGUUUGUAUAGACUCAUGAAUGAACUGACUCAUGUAUGUUCCCUUAAACUAGGAAUGGUAAUUGGUAUCUCCUAAACUAUACCUAUUAUAGUUUACUAGAAUAUAGUUUGAAUGUCCAAGUAUGUUCAUACACCUUUGUUACUCAAGGGUGUUGGAACUGAAGAAGAAAUAAAGCUCUCAUAUCAAUACAUAUAUACUUGAUACAUAAGUGUAUAGAUAUGGUUUUUAACAAUAUAUAAGUUUGAAAGAGGUUUUGUAAUACAUUUAAAGGUUUUGAACAAUAAAUAAUAACGACUUGAUGUCAGUUUAUAAAAUGAUUCAAAAUUAGUUUUUUUGAUAACAAAGUUUAAAGUAACUGAAAUCCAUUGUUUGAAACACAGUUUGAAGUAUAUGAAAUCCGUUGUUUGAAAACAUGGUUAUAAAUCACAUGAGAUUGAUUCUAUAAUUAUGUGUUUUCUACUUGUAUUCCCCCCCCCCCCAAUAAAAGCAUUUAAAGUCAUUUAAAAGGAUCGAUUACGGGGUAUGAACUCACAUGGAGUGAGUGAUGCGAAUGUAAGAUCGGUAAAGGAUGCUAAGUGUCAAGUGAGGACUUGAGCACACACGGAUCCUAUUUAACAUAUAAUGACACAUAUAUGCUUACAAUUAGUGUUUAUAACAACUAGUUAUGAAAUGGAACAACCUUAGGGACUAGGAAACACUUGUAUUUAAGUGUUAAACCAUAUAGGGUUGCAUAUAAGGAGUGUAGGGCCUCUUAUUGGAGUUUAUGGCCCAUAUGGUAAUAACCACAUGAGUUUACACUCAAUGGGUAAUUUCCCAUGAGUUUACGGCCGUAAAAUCAUGGUACUAAGUACCAAGUUGUGUUAUAAGGUCCUACAUGUCAAUAUGAAGUGCUCUUUGAUCAAGUCUAAGCCUUAGGAAGGAAUGGUGGCACCAUUGCACCACUAACUAGUGUUUACGGCCCAAGGACCAUUUCUCCAUGAGUUUACGACCAUAAAAUCAUGGUAUUAUGUACCAUUUCAAUGUUUAAGGUCCUUAGUUCAUGCUAGAAGUGUUCUAGACUUGAUUCCAAGGCUUUGGAGGGGAUUAGGGCUCAUUUAGACCCUUAAAUAGAGUUUACGGCCCAAGGAGGUUCCUUGGCCGUAAAAUCCCUUUUGAUCUUGUUUUCUUGAUGAUUUCUAAGUGUAAUCUAGUUGAUUGAAGCAUAUAAGAAGCUAAGACAAGAGUACUUACAAUAUAGAAGCUUGUAAAGGUGCUUAAGGCUCAAGAACACUAGUGUGUGUUCUUGGUGAAAUGAAGAACACUUGAAUAUCUAUCAAAUGAAGAGAUUUCAUGGAUGAAAUCAUAUGCAAACACUAGAUAAUGAAGAUUAUUAACUAAUCAAGUAAGAAAACACUUACUAAGUUGAAGAUCUAGUGAAGAACUUGGAUGAUACUUGAGAGAGAAUGAGUUCUAGGCUUGAAAAUGGUAAAAAUAACUAAAAUGACUAAGCGUCAUAUUUAUACCUUAGAGUUUACGACCAUAAACUCCAUGUUAUGGUGGUAAACUCCAAACUCUUGGAGUUUUGAGACUUAAGUGUUGUACAUUUAACUCUAGAGUAUACUUCCUAUGGUUACCUCUGAUGUAUUUAAGAACAAAACACCCAAACUGACUCCAAAACUACUAAAAAUUUACAGCAGUAGGUUUGACUUUGAUUGAAUGUAGGGUUGGUUAUAAGAUAGAAAUUUCGAGUUGUCACAUGAUCCCUAUUUAAGGACUCUAACCCACCCUUUAGGAUCCUUCCUAACAUCAGCCUCCACCCUCUUGAUCCUCCAACUCGAAACCCUAGCCCCUGGAGCAAAUCUUGAGCCUUUUUAUGUGUUUUGGGUGCAGUUUGGAAGAAAGAGUCAUUGAAAUCGUAUCCAUUUGUCUAGGAUAAAAACGACGCGGUAAAUCGCCGAAUAGUACAACCGAGAACAUCCGUCGAUGAAUAGGUCCCGCUGUAGCUAGCAGCCAGGUGUAGGAUGGUCAGUCCCGUAUAGUAUGUAGUAAUUCUUCUUGUAUAGUAUAUAGUAUUUCUCUCCGUAUAGUAUGUAGUAAUUCUCUUUGUAUAGGAUGUUUGUAUAGACUCAUGAAUGAACUGACUCAUGUAUGUUCCCUUGUACUAGAAAUGGUAAUUGGUAUCUCCUAAACUAUACCUAUUAUAGUUUACUAGAAUGUAGUUUGAAUGUCCAAGUAUGUUCAUACACCUUUGUUACUCAAGGGUGUUGGAACUGGAGAAGAAAUAAAUCUCUCAUAUCAAUACAUAUAUACUUGAUACAUAAGUGUAUAGAUAUGGUUUUUAACAAUAUAUAAGUUUGAAAGAGGUUUUUUAAUACAUUUAAAGGUUUUGAACAAUAAAUAAUAAUGACUUGAUGUCAGUUUAUAAAACAAUUCAAAAUUAGUUUGUUUGAUAACAAAGUUUAAAGUAACUGAAAUCCAUUGUUUGAAACACAUUUUGAAGUAUAUGAAAUCCGUUGUUUGAAAACACGGUUAUAAAUCACAUGUGAUUGAUUCUAUAAUUAUGUGUUUUCUACUUGUAUUCCCCCCAUAAAAGCAUUUAAAUUCAUUUAAAAGGAUAGCGUAAGGGGUAUGAACUCACCUGGAGUGAGUGAUGCGAAUGUAAGAUCGAUAAAGGAUGCUAAGUGUCAAGUGAGGACUUGAGCACACACGGAUCCUAUUUAACAUAUAAUGACACAUAUAUGCUUACAAUUAGUGUUUAUAACAACUAAUUAUGAAAUGGAACAACAUUAGGGACUAGGAAAUACUUGUAUUGAAGUGUUAAACCACAUAGGGUUGCAUAUAAGGAGUGUAUGGCCUCUUAUUGGAGUUUAUGGCCCAUAUGGUAAUAACCACAUGAUUUUACGGCCAAGGGCAAAUUUUCCCAUGAGUUUACGGCCGUAAACUCAUGGUACUAAGUACCAAUUUGUGUUAUAAGGUCCUACAUGUCAAUAUGAAGUGCUCUUUGAUCAAGUCUAAGCCUUAGGAAGGAAUGGUGACACCAUUGCACCACUAACUAGUGUUUACGGCCCAAGGACCAUUUCUCCAUGAGUUUACGGCCGUAAACUCAUGGCAUUAUGUACCAUUUCAAUGUUUAAGGUCCUUAGUUCAUGUUAUAAGUGUUCUAGACUUUAUUCCAAGGCUUUGGAAGGGAUUAGGGCUCAUUUGGACCCUUAAAUAUGAUGGGUUUUAUACAAACAAUCCUAUGUAUUCAUGCAACCCUAGAGUUGGAUCUAUGUUUUCACUAUUAGUUAUACAAUUUUAUGAACACAAAAAGAAACCUGGCAUGCUAGUACUAUUUUCGAAAUCCACAUAGAAGAAUAGAAUACAUACCUUUUAUUGUUAUAUUGUAAUAACAACUAGUUCCUUGAAUCUCCUUAGCUUUGAAAGCAAUUACCACAAGUAUAGUACCUCUAAUGGCUCACAAACACACUAGGUGAAAGGAUGAAUAUGGGAGAGAGGAGAAAAGGGUAUCUUGCCCUAGAAUUCGUCCCUUUUAGGGUUUACCAAAGCUUGGACGAAAUCUUAGUGCCUUAGGGUUCUAUUUAUACUUAAGGCUAACUAGGGUUUCAAGGUGUAAACCCUAAUCCCUUAGCUUAGGGCCUAAGCAAGUCCAUGGACUCCUUUCCUUAAGCCCGUGGAUGAAAAAUCCUAGAUCCUUCUAGGAUUUUCGUUCAAGCCUUAAUAAAGGUGAUCCAAUGGCCCAAAGCCUCAACUAUUGAAUAAUUACAAAAUAGCCCCUGCACUUUCAGCCAGUUCCUUUAAUCCCAAAAUUAAUUCUAAAUUAAUUUCUGAUUAAAUACUAAUUAAUAAUAUGAUUCCAAAUUAAUAUAUUAUUCAUAUAAUAUAUUAACAAAUCAUAUUUAUACCCUAAUUUAUUAUUCUUAACAAUAAACCAGCCUCUCUCCUCAACAAUCAUCCUGUCUAGUCACCAGUGUGAAGGCAACCCAAAAGGACCAUGCACAAUCGGGUCAAGUACAUACCAAAAUAGUUAUGGACUUAGACACUAAUCCAACAGUCUCCCACUUGGAUAAGUCUAAUAACUAUUAUGCGUAUGACUUCAGAUCCUGAUCUGCAAUCGUAGCUUUCCAAAGCCGCUGUCAACUCUGAUCAUAUCAGAUACGCGUGUCCUUAGAUAAGGGAUCAUAUAUUCCUCCAUUCUAGAUAUCAUAUGAGAUAUGAUUUCAAAUCAUUCUCUUUGUACUAUAUCUCGAUUCCCGAUUUAUGACGACUGACUAAUUGAACAAAUCAAAUUAGCCCUAGCCCGGCCGAGCAUUUACGUUUGUCAUCACUAAAUCAUCGAGGGGCCCAAAGAUAUCGCUUUUAUCCUACUUUGGAUAAAAGGAACGGAUAAACUUUGAUUCAAUGCUCGCUUGCACUCACUCACCGAAUCACACACAACAAUAUGUUUUAUAACACCAAGUUACUGGUGCGUUUACAUAUUAUCAAUGUGUAACCGACUCGCAAGAUACAACUCACACAUCUCGGUUUCAAGAAUAUAAGAUAUUAUCGUCUCACCAAUCACUCGUGAUAAAAUCCAUGAAGUGAUCCAAGUGAGCGUGGGUUUAAUCCAAUGCUCAAAUCAUAUUCAUAAGCACUCAUGAACGUUGCAGCAAACAUUUGCUUAUGUCUAAUACUCUUUAGACAAUCCACACACCAAUUCACGACAGUCUUCAUUCAUACCUACUUCCAACAUAUGAACGACUGUGGCCCGUUCGAAUAAUUUGACUGUUCUUAACCAAUUUAAUUAUUCAGGAAGUCAAAACAUGCAAAGUGAAACACAAGAAUAAUACUAAUCCCAUAUGGUCCCAAACCUUUGAGUAUAAAUAAAACACCUUUUAUUUAUCACCAUAUCGAUUACUCAUUAUUUGUUGUUUCGGGUAAUCAACUUCUUACUUGAAUUAUUACUACACUUGUCCCAUGCUCUUAGCAUGCACACAAUGUUUACCUAUGGUCCUUACUUUGUGAAAUAGAUCAAAUGAACACAUUUCCAAUCAUACUCAUUUCACAACUCCCAAUCCUUAUCAUAAGUGUAAGAAUAUCAAAUUCUUGCCACUUAUAGAAUAUGCUAGAUUCUAACAUUUUAUGCAAUGAUCCUUUCGUAAAGUCAUAGCUCAAAAUCAUCAAGACUUGGCCAAUCUCUAUCAGAAACAAUUCUAUAGAUAUGAUGUCUCUCACUCAAAGUACAUUCCUUUGAACAUCCUUCUUGCAUAAAAGUUUCUAAUCUAGGCAUAGAUUCUCAAUAUCCAACUCCCAAUAUGGAAACAUUUCCAUAUUUGCCAUAUGACAACUCAUUCUUAAUAGAAUCUUAUCUAUUCAUAAUAAUGUCGAUAUGGUCCAUCCAAUACCAUACUUCCAACUACUCACAAGCGACCAAUCCUCAGUGAACUUUGGAUCGUCCUUUGAUAGUUGUUUAAUUAUUUUAGUCAAAACCGAUUCUAGUCUUUUUUCCCUCUUAAUGCGCUAGACAUUUGGAAAAUUUUAGAAUGGUCAAAUAUUAUAGCAUUUGCAAUCGAUCCUAUACCCGAAGCGUAUGGGACACGAUGCAUAAUGUCUUACAUAAAGAUAUGAUACUUUAUCAAUCUUUUGCCAUAAUAUUUUAUGUGUCACGUUCUCACAAUUCGAACUAUGAAGAGGGAUGCCAUAAUCAUAAUCGAAAUUUGGGAACACACUAUGUAUCCUUGACUAAAUUUAUUAACAUUCCACAAUCUAAGCCUUUAGAUUUGAAAUGAAGCAUAAUAUUCUCUCCCUUAAUUAUAGCAAAACAACUUUUCAACCCUUACGACUUUGCAAAGUAUAACUCUUGUUUUCUAUAAUUAAUAUUGCUAACUUGCAAUACUUGCCAUAAUAAUCAUACAAGCAUAACACUUAUGCUCCCACUAUCAUAUAAGCAUAACACUUAUGCUCCCACUAGCUUUGACAUGUAUUUAGAAAACAACUGAACUUCCAGAAAACAAUACUUAUUGAAUUUCUGAAGUUCAUAUUUCUUGUACCAAAUGCUUCGAUAAGCCUUUAUGUAAGCUUCUUAACCUUAUACACCUUUUCCUUAGAAAGCUCACAUGUGUGUAUAGACAAAUUCAGAACUUAUGUUACUAAGCCCCAAAUUUUCAUACUAAUUGCCAAAUCUCACAAUUCGAACUAUGAAGAGGGAUGUCGUAAUCAUAAUCGAAUUUGAGAAUACAAUUUACACAACUGCUAUCUCCUUAAAAUCUCUCUUAGUGAAAGCAUUUCCUCAUAAUCAUUUUCAUGAAGGAGGGAAAUCUUAUGACACUUAGAUUUUAUGGUGUAUGUGUUCCUAUCCAUGUGAAUUUUCCAAAACCAAAGUUUGCGACAAAUCCAAACUCAUAUGGACUGAACUUUCUCAAUCUUGAUUUCUUGCCUUAUGGUAACACGAGUGCCCACCAUGUCUUCCAAGUAGUUAAGCAGCUCAUCCUUUCCUACCAACAUACUUUUCAUUGAUCAAGGUGCUUGCCUUUUAUGCGUUCAAAUGAGAACUCAUAGAGCUCACAUGCAUAAUUAACUCAAUUGGAAUGGCACAGAAACAAAAUAAUGUCAACACGAUAGGUUAUAAACCUCAAGUCGUGUGCUAGUGAUGAUCAAUAAGGUUUAUUCUUGAUUAGUUCUUGAAACCUUUUUCAAGAUCAUUAAAACUCCCACUGACCUCUUGACAUACAUGAUUCUCUUGUCAUGAAACUUUCCUAGACAAAAGAAAUAUUCAAGAGUUAGUGUAGUUCUUAUCAAGAUAAAACACUUCACAUAAUUGGUCCUAGUUGGUCUUUGUCUUAUCCAAGACAACACAACUUACCAAUUUCAAAUGUGCAAAAAUAAGAAAACUUUUCCAAAUUCCACAUUUGUUGAGUGUUAUAAACCUUCUUAAGAUUUGUCACUCAAUUCACAAUCUUGGAGUAUAACUCUAAGACUUGAUAUUGGGACGAAGUAUGAUUAACUUCUUGAUUUUAACCAUUUCCAUAAUUCUCGAUUCCUCUUCUUAGACAUACAAAUGCACUAAGACUCACUUAGAGGAUCAAUUGAGAUAUGGUUCUUAAUCAUUAAGACUUAUCAUAAAACACAAUAAAAGAUACUCUCCCUUCUUCUUAGAAUGGAGAAACUUUUAUCUUUCUGCCUUCUUGAUUCUUCUUAUUCGUUCUGCUAUUCAUUGAAACUCUUUCAAUCAACUCAGAAUUACACUUAAUCUUAUAAGUAUAAUCAUAUUUACUAAACUUUAGUAAAUCAUGACGAAUAUCUUUGUCGCUCUUGUGGUGGACUUGAUCAACACACAACCUAGUAUGCUCGAUCUCCUAGUCCUUCACUUGACACUUUGUCAAAGAAUUAGUCUAAUUUCCAAAAUAUGUAGUCUCUCAUUCAUCACGCAACCAAGUUGUAUGAUUCCAAGUUUUUGUCCAAUUGAAACUUGGGCGAUGAGAAACUCUCCCUAUUUGGUAAAUUCUCGACAUUUCCACAAAUAACCUAAUUAAGAAUCAAAUCCAUCUUCGCUNCGACAUUUCCCAAAUAACCUAAUUAAGAAUCAAAUCCAUCUUCGCUAAUAAUAGAAACCUUCAAACAUCAAUUUCUCAUACACACCAUUGCAAGGAUAAAUAAAUAAUAUAAAAUCAAAAUUUAUUUUAUUGUGGAAAAAUUUGUCCUUACAAUGCAAUUCAAUCGAAAACUAUGUUAAUACAUAUUUCUUAGAAAUCUAUCCUAACUCCAAGUAGUAGCUCAAGAAUCUAAUCUUCAAGGAAUGCGAUCGAAAUCCAUUUCUUCAUGUUUAGAUUCAGCUCACUUCUUCCCUUAAGCUUCCUCUCUUUUCUUCGAUCCUAUAAAACAUCAAAAUGUAAUCUUAUCACAUCAUGUAUUAAGAAUCUUAGAAUAGGAACUUAAAAGAGUUAGUUAAUGGAUUUUACCUGAAGUAGAGUCAUACGUCUUGACUCUCCCAUCUCUUAGAUCUCUCAGGUAAAUAGGAUAGCUUCGUCUUCAAUGCCCCUUCUCUUGGCAAUAAAAGCAAAUGGACUCCUUUGGCACAACACAUCGGACAAUCAUAGACUUAGUUCUUUCUAGACUUACGAUGUUGCCAGUGUUCAUUGCAGUUUGGGAGUUUGACUCACCAGAUAAAUUUUCUUGACCAGCACGCCAAAUCAUUGCUGAUUCAAUAGCUAUAAGCAAAUAGGUGAGAUCCAUGAGGGUCACGUCGUGAUACAUCAUAUAGUACUCUCUAACGAACUCACUAUAUGAUUCAGGAAGCGACUGGAGAACCCAAUCAACAGCCAACUCACCUAAAAUCUCAACACCCAACAUCCUUAACCUAUCAAUGUGUGACUUCAUCUCUAUGACGUGUGUACACACAAGUUUCCCAUCUUCGUGUUUACUUGUCAAAAGGGCUUGAGUGAGCUUGAACUUUUCAAUUCUUCAAACUUGUGGGCGUGCUUAAGGCUCAAGAACACUAGUGUGUGUUCUUGGUGAAAUGAAGAACACAUGAAUAUCUAUCAAAUGAAGAGAUGUCAUGGAUGAAAUCAUACACAAACACUAGAUAAUGAAAUUUAUUAACUAAUCAAGUAAGAAAACACUUACUAAGUUGAAGAUCUAGUGAAGAACUUGGAUGAUACUUGAGAGAGAAUGAGUUCUAGGCUUGAAAAUGAUAAAAUGACUAAAAUUACUAAGUGUCAUAUUUAUACCUUAGAGUUUACGGCCGUAAACUCCAUGUUAUGGUCGUAAACUGCAAACUCUUGGAGUUUUGAGACUUAAGUGUUGUACAUUUAACUCUAGAAUAUACUUCCUAUGGUUACCUCUGAUGUAUUUAAGAUCAAAACACCCAAACGGACUCCAAAACUGCUAAAAAUUUGUAGCAGUAAGUUUGACUUUGAUUGAAUGCAGGGUUUUUUAUAAGAUUGAAAUUUCGAGUUGGCACAUCAUCCCCCCGUUAGAGGGAAUUUCGUCCUGAAAUUAGAGUUUAAGCAAAUAAGUAGUUACAAAUAACUAAGUAAAAAAGAUGAGUAUAUUUGAUCCUCGCGCUCCCAGGUGAAUUCAGGUCCUCGCUUGGCGUUCCAGCGAACCUUCACUAUCGGGAUACGACUUUGUUUCGUUUGCUUGACCUCUCGGUCCAUGAAUUCUACAGGUUCUUCCACGAAGUUGAGGCUCUCGUUGAUCUUGAUCGCGUCGAGUUGGAUUACAACAGUCUCGUCAGACAGACACUUUUUUAAGUUUGAGACAUGGAAAGUAGAAUGUACGUUACUGAGUUCACGCGGUAGAUUGAGUUUGUAAGCUACAGGGCCGAUUCUGGCAAGAAUCUCGAAAGUCCCUACGUAUCUUGGAUUUUGCUUUCCACGCUUUCUGAAGCGUAUCAAGCCCUUCCAAGGUGAGACUUUCAAAAGGACUCGGUCUCCCACCUGGAAUUCCAAAGGUUUCCUUCGUUUGUCUGCGUAGCUUUUCUGUCGGUCUCUAGAGGCUUUCAAUCAUUCACGAAUCUGAACGAUCUGCUCUAUCGUUUCCCGUAUGAUUUCCGGACCUGUGAGAGUGCUGUCAGGAACUCGUCCUUUAGCUAACUGGGUGUCACCCACCUCAGCCCAGCACGGAGGGGAUCUGCACUUUCGGCCAUAGAGGGCCUCGAAUGGAGCAACCUUUAUGCUCGUUUGGUAACUGUUGUUGUAGGAAAAUUCGACAAGGGGUAAAUGAGUAUCCCAUGCUUUCCCGAAGUCAAUCACACAGGCUCUCAUCAUAUCUUCCAAGGUUUGGAUAGUUCUCUCACUUUGUCCGUUAGUCUGUGGAUAGUAGGUUGUACUCAUGUCCAGCCUCAUUCCUAGGGAACUUUGUAGUGACUGCCAGAACCUCGAAGUGAAUCUACUAUCUUUAUCGGAGAUAAUGGAUAUGGGAACACCAUGCAGUCGUACGAUCUCCUUAAUGUAUGUUCUUGUUAGUUUCUCCACCUUUUCAGUCUCUUUGAUUGGUAGGAAUGCGCGGAUUUGGUCAAUCUGUCGACGAUGACCCAAAUGGUAUCAAGUCCACCCGUUGUCUUGGGCAACUUGGUUAUGAAUUCCAUAGUAAUCCACUCCUAUUUCCAUUCUGGUAUCUCUGGUUGCUGAAGUAAACCUGAUGGUUUCUGGUAUUCGACCUUAACCUUUACGCAAGUAAGGCAUUUACUCACGAAGGUAGCAAUCUCUGCUUUCAUGUUAGGCCACCAACAUAACUUUUUAAGAUCCAGAUACAUCUUAUCCGAAUUUGGAUGAAUGGAAUAUCGAGUGUUGUGUGCCUUGGUCAUGACAAAGUAUCUGAAUCCAUCAUGUUUCGGUGUCCAGAUUUGGUCCAUGAGAUAUAAGGCUCUGCCACCCUUUACCACUAAGUUCUUUUCCAUCCCUUUUAGGGAUUCACCCGUCACAUUUUCAGGUUUCAAAGCUUCGAGUUGAGCUUCUUUAAUUUGUGUGGACAAGUGCGAAUGGAUGGACAUAGUUAUUGAUUUGACUCUACCACCAGAGUAUUCUUUCCGACUUAGGACGUCAGCUACUACGUUGGCAUUGCCGGGAUGAUAACGAAUUUCGCAUUCGUAGUCAUUGAGUAGCUCGACCCACCGUCGUUGUCUCAUGUUGAGCUCCUUCUAAUCAAAGAUGUGUUGAAGGCUUUUGUGGUCUGUAAAGAUAGUGCUUUUCGUACCAUACAGAUAGUGUCUCCAGAUCUUUAGAGCAAACACCACUGCUCCUAACUCAAGAUCAUGCGUGGUGUAGUUGACUUCGUGUAUCUUUAGCUGUCUUGAGGCAUAGGCGAUGACCUUACCUUGUUGCAUCAGAACACAUCCGAGCCCAUGGUUGGAUGCAUCGCAAUAGACUACAAAGUUUUCUAUUCCUUCUGGGAGGGAUAGUAUUGGUGCGGUGCAUAAGGCUCGUUUCAAUGUUUGGAACGCCUUCUCUUGUUUCUCUUCCCAGUCAAAGGCCACACCUUUCUGGGUCAGUGUGGUAAGUGGUUUCGUGAUACUAGAGAAGUUUUGUAUGAACCUGCGAUAGUAGCCAGCGAGACCUAGAAAUUGACGAAUUUAUGUAAGUGUCUUUGGUGCUGACCAGUUCUCAAUGGCUUUGAUUUUGGAAGGGUCCACGUGAAUUCCCUCUUCACUAACAAUGUGGCCCAAGAUUUCGACUCUUUUGAAUCCAAAACUCGCACUUAGAGAACUUCGCAUAGAGCUUCUCCGAUCGUAAUGUUUCUAAGACUCUUCGUAGGUGUUGACUAUGCUCCUCCUUACUUCGAGAGUAGAUGAGUAUGUCAUCGAUGAAGACAAUGACGAACUGAUCCAAGUAAGGACGGCACACCCUAUUCGUUAGAUCCAUGAAUACAUCUGGUGUGUUGGUUAAUCCGAAUGACAUCACUACAAACUCGUAGUGUCUGUAACGAGUUCGGAAGGUUGUCUUGGGAACAUGCUCCUCUAACACUCGUAACUGGUGAUACCCGGAUCGUAGAUCUAUCUUCGAGAAGUAGUUGGCUCCUUGAAGUUGAUCAAAUAAAUCGUCUAUGUGGGGUAGAGGAUAAUAAUUUUUAACGGUAAGCUUGUUGAGUUCCCUGUAGUCGAUGCACAUACGAAAAGAUCCGUCUUUCUUCUUGAUGAACAAGACCGGUGCUCCCCAUGGUGAGAAGCUUGGCCUAAUGAAACCCUUCUUGAGAAGUUCGUUAAGCUGACCGGAAAGUUCUUGCAUCUUUGCUGGUGCCAUUCGAUAUGGAGAUUUGGCUACUGGAGUAGCCCCUGGCACUAAGUCGAUUCUGAACUCGACUUGACGUUGCGGUGGUAAUCCCGGUAGUUCUUCUGGAAAGAUGCCGGGAAAGUCGCGCACUUCUGGAAUGUUCUGAAUGUCCUUCACUUCUUGACUCGUAUCGACUAUGUGUGUGAGGAAUGCAUGAUUUUCCUUUCGCAAGCACUUCUAAGCUUGGAUACACGAAAUGAUACGAAGGUUCGUACUAGGUUUGUCGCCGUAGAUAACUAGAUUUUCAUUGUUAGGGAGGUUAAGACGAACUGCUUUCUCAAAACAUAUGAUGUCGGCGUGAAGACGACUUAACCAAUCCAUACUGAUUAUGACUUCGGAACUUUUAAUUGGGACCGGCAUGAGGUUUAUUUUGAAAGAAUGACCAUUUAUAGUUAGAGUACAACCUAUGUAUAUGCAGUUAGUACUUUCUGUUUUCCUGUUUGCCAUUUCUACAGUGAAUGAUUCAUCUAGUGCACGUGGUUUUUGUUUAAGCAAGUGUGCAAAUUUCUGGUUUACGAAACUUUUCUCCGCUCCACUCUCGAUAAGUAUGCAUGCAUAUGAAUUAUCGAGGAGAAACCUACCAGUAACUAUCGUAGGAUCAACUACGGCUUCCUCGUGAUCUAUAGCCAGAACUCUUCCCACUCUUCCAGCAUUCCCUACCUUCGGGCAGUCCCUCUUGAAAUGACCAACCUCGCCACAACCGUAGCAGGCUUGACCUACUCCACCAGCAGGUACUUGGUUAAUCGGUUGGGAUGGUGACUUACAGAAUCGGGCGGUAUGCCCUUUCUUGUUGCAGUUACGACACAACAUCUCUCAUCAAUUUCCGUUAUGGUGAAAAUUGCACUUGCUGCAUUUAGGGAGAUUACCAGCAUAAGGCUUAGCUGGUAAGGGAUUAGCAGGGACAACAGGAGUUACAGUGGCAGCAUUGAUUGUAACUAGUUUUUGUUUCUUUGAGGAUUCUUGUGAAGUCCCGCUUUUCCUCUUGUUCCAGCCCCUUUUCCUGUUGUUGUUGUUUCCCUUUUGUUGCUCGGGUGUAGCAAUUGUUGCGUUCUGGUAGUUUCCGUGAUCGAUAAUAGAUUGUGCCAGUUCUUUAGCGCUGUCAAAAGUAAUAGGCCUUGAUGCUAACACACUUGACUGAAUUUGGGGCGACAGUCCCUAAAUAUAUCUCUCUAUUUUCUUGCUCUCAAGAGCAACCAUAUCCGGGCAAAGCAUUGCCAGAUCACAGAAUCUAUUAGUAUAGGUUGAUACGUCAGAACCAACCAUUUCAAGACCCCAGAGUUCCUGCUCGAGUUUUUGAAUUUCCCCUCGUAGACAAUACUCUCUCAUCAGCAUGGCUUUCAACUUAUCCCAGCUUAUCGAAUUUGCCACAAUUAGAGUCAGUGACUUAACGUGGCCAGUCCACAAAGUUAAAGCCCUGUCAGAAAAGGUACAAGUAGCAAACUUGACCUUGUUGUUCUCUGGGCAGGCGUAGAUUUCAAAGACUGCUUCUAUCUUUUCUAUCCACUGCCUUAAAAUCAUCACCCCUCCAGUUCCAUUGAAAUUCAUGGGUUUGGCAUUUGUAAAAUCUUUGUAGGUGCAUUCUCGAGGGUGCCCAUGACUCUCGCCAUGGUUGGAAAGAGGUGCACUAAUUCCCGAUCCACUAGGGACAAGAGUAUUGAUGUGUGACAUGGCAGCCACUACGGCCGCCAUGACAGCUGCUUGGAACAUAGCAGCGUCGAACUGAGGAGGUGGCGGCAGUGGUGGUGGUAUUGGUGCUUCGUUAUUAUUGUUACGUCUUGGAUUUCUGCGAGGAAGCAUCUUUUAACUUCAAGUUUAAAAGAUAGAAACAAUGAUAAGAAUCCAAUAGUAUAGAAAAUGAAAGUGUCUUGUGAACUAAGUCACCAAAGUUCGAUAUCAAAUGAGAGUAAUUUCUGAGUAGAUUAGAUAACUGCCGAAAUUACUGGUAUAUAAGAUGUAAAUAAGUUCGGGAAAAUGACCUGACUAUAGGUCUUACAUCAUACCAUAAGGGAAAAUGUUGACAGUUUAGAAGUCAAAUAAAGUACUUGAGAGACAGGGAUAUUUUACAGAAAAGUGCUUCAUAAAGCACCGAUACAAAAGGCUAUUCCUUAAACUAAAAGAAGGGAUGAGUCAGACAUCUUCUACCGGCGAUGGGUAUUCCUCGGGUGAACCCUUAGAUCUGCCAGUUGACGUACUACGUCUUGAAGAUGUCCCUCAUGAGCUCUCUGACGCACUCGAAGUUCUAUAACCUCAAUGCGGGAUACAUGUGACAACCCGAAAUUUCCAUUUGUACGAACGUUAUCUAUUCAAUAGAAGCUAGUCCAGUUUCAGUGGAUUUCAUACUCGUCCGAAUGAGUUUGUGUACAUUAGGGUCUACGUUUAAGGAGAUAUCAGGAGAGUGGAUGCUCCUGGGUUUGUGAAAUUUGAACAUUCCAAGUUUCAUAAUGUUAUAGUCCAAGUUCGAGAAUAAAAAUAUUUUCUGUCAAAAUAUUUCAGGACUAUAAAUAGAUUUCUGAAUUAAAUUAAUUCAUUAUUCACAAUUCCAACUAGAGAAAAGCCAUUUUCUCUCUCACGGAUCUUCGGGUUUUCAUCCCAGAUUGUGAGUCUACUUUCCUAUAUGUGUUUUAAUACUUGUUAUAUGCUUAAUAACAUUAUUUACAUGUCCAAAAUACAAGAUCCGGGAGCUUACGGCCCAAGAACGUUCUUGGGGUGUAAACUCCAAAACAAGGCCUAAAAGCUACCUAGUCUCAUUUCCAUGUUAGGUAUCUAGUUAGGGACUUUAUGUAUGAACAUUAGAGGCUAGAAAUCAAUCAAAAUCAUAUAGGUUUAGGAGUUUACGGCCAAGGAUAUGCUCUUGGGCCGUAAACCCCUUUUUCAAGGGCUAAGAGUGCCCUAAACACCCCUAAGGCUUUAAGACAAUUACCCUUUAAUACUUAUGACUUGAAUGGGGAGUAAAUUACAUCAAAAUCAUCCCUUAAAGGGAGUUUACGGCCAAGGAACAUCUCUUGGGCCGUAAACUCCAAGUGAAGGCACAAAUGUGUGCCUAAUGUCCCCUUUAGCCUUAAACAAAAACCUAGAAGCUAUCCUUAAUGUGCAAGGGACUUAAAAGAAUUAAAACCAACACCCCAUAUGAUUUUACGACCGUAAACUCUAGGGGAUAUGGUAUUUAGGCCGUAAACUCCUCUAUGGAGCAUUCUAGGGCCUUAAACUACUUCAAGGAUUAUUCCAACAAUGCUAGGCUUAUUCUAGGAUUAGUAUAGCACCUUAAAACACCCAAAACCACCAAGUGUGGAGUUCACGGCCGUAAACUCAAGGGUUUACGACCGUAAACUCCAAGGGUGGGGUUUGUUGGGUGGUGAACUCUUAUUCAAGGUCUUUUGGUACAUUAAACCCUUUUGCCUUGUCCCGUAUCGACUAAGAUGCAACCCUUAGGACCUAUAACAUUUAUACAAAGUGUUUACAUGUUCCUGAGUGUCCCAACUUAUUUUAUUAAGUUAUUAUUUGGCUAAUUAGUUAUAUAUAUGCUUAUUAUAUGAUAACUAGGCUCGUGCGUGUAAGCAAGUCUCCGUUUGCCACCUAGCACGGUAUCCGACACUACAAUCCAAACAGCUCACCACAAGUGAGUUCAUACCCCUUUAAUCAACCUUUGAAAUGAUUUUAAAUGUUUUAAAUACUUUAUGGGGGGAUACAAGUUAAAUACUUAUAGUUAUUGCUUCAAUCACAUGUGAUUGCAUUAAUCACAUGUGAUUAAUAACUAGGAAACCAAUGAUUUUAUCACUGUUCAAACUGUUUAUCAAACUGUUUUACUUCAAAAUGUUUUACAAACNUAAAUGUUUAUUAAAAUGACAUCAAAUCAUUGUUAAUAAUUGUUCAAAACGCAUAAGAUGUCUUACAAAACCAUUUUACAUCCUUGAACUAAACUAUGCAUAUACACUUAUAUUCUUAUUUAUAUAUAUAUAUAUAUAUAUGUGUGUGUGUGUGUGUGUGUGUGUGAAUUUCAUUUGUUUUAUUUCAAUUAGUUUUGUUGAUUGUAUACUUCUGUCAUAACAUAACUUGGAUACAAUUUUUUCAUGAUUUAGGAAAUUGGAACUCAAAAGUUUUGGUAACAACUUUGGCUAAUAUGGAUUAUUACAGAUAGUUUAUAAUUAUGAAACUAAGAGCCUUUGAUAAAAAUGGAACUAGUCAGACAACCAUCCUGCUUAUGCCUUUGUAAGCAUUUGUGCAAACUAUAUGACAUGUGUAUAUGUAUGAUAAACACUCAAAUAGCUCUUCAAUCUAUUUAGUGAUUUCACAGAAUUACCUAUAGAAACUGCAUCAAAAGAACAUAUUUAUGUGGAUUGCAGAAAACGUAAUGACCAAUUUGAUUAUAUCGAAUAUUUUCUUCCUACACCAAGAAUCAUACCAUGAGAAGAAAAUAUCAAUAAAUCAAUUAAAUAUACAUUUAGUUUCAUUCUUUAACUUUCUGUAAAAAAAAAAAAAAAAAANACUUACCAUUCCGAAUCCCACUGAUUAGCACCAGUGGUCGAUGAACGUCUACGGAUGUCUAAGGUUGUCACUUAUUUAGUAGUCAGUGAUGGGACUAACCAUCCCUCUGUCCAACUGUUGCAACAGUGGAUGAGAUGAGAAUCUUCGUAGGAUCAUUAGGUUAACGCUGUUAGGGGACUAACCCUCCCUCCACCCUGCUGCCGCUACAGAGGAUGAGGGGACACUCUUCGGAUGUUCCAUAGGGUCUAUCUUUCGCUUCAGCGAUGUCGUGUUUGUCCUGGUAAUCCAAGACAAUAAUACUUGCAUGAUUAUAUUUUUCCUACUUUACUUUAUUUUGUGAUAUAUUCACAUAAACGAUGAGUUAGACUAAGCACUUUUAGUACUAGUCAAUAGAAAGGAAAAACUAUCAUUUUACUUACAAAACAUUCGGGUCUUGGUAGAAGACUACAUAGUCAUAACAAAACAUUCGGGUCUUGGUAGAAGACUACAUAGUCAUAACAGAACAUUCGGGUCUUGGUAGAAGACUACAUAGUCAUAACAGAACAUUCGGGUCUUGGUAGAAGACUACAUUGUCAUAACAAAACAUUCGGGUCUUGGUAGAAGACUACACUUCAUACAUACAGAACAUUCGGGUCUUGGUAGAAGACUACAUUUCAUACUUAUAGAAAAUAAGGGUUUUUCUAAGGAUUUCAUACUUACCUCAACAUUUUCAUUUAAAGGUUUACAUGGCUUUCAUAAUAUAUUUUCACAAACAAGGCAAUGACACUUAUAUACUUAUGAAUUCACCAGCUUUAAAGCUGAUACUCGCUUUCAAAAUAACUUGUAUUCUCAAGUUAUCAGUAGACAGGUACGGAGGCCAGGUUUUGAGAAGACGGAGCAGACAAGUCUCGUCUUUUAUUUUGAUUGUAUAUUUUUGGUGUCUUAUUACAAUGAAAGAACACACAUGUAUUAAACUUUACUUAUAAUGCAAUGGAUGAUGUUGUUGCUUGUUUAUUAUAUUACACUAUUGUGAUACUGUACAUGACGUCCUCCACCCCUGAACGUUUCCGCCGUUCGUGGUUUUGGGGUGUGACAAUGCAGCUAGCUAUUGCUGCAGAGCCUCAUUGGUUCUCCUAGUCCUUUCCAUGGCGUCUUCGAGUUGGCAUAUGCGGACCGUGUUAACGCCAGAGUUAGUGUCAAUUUCCAUGACUCGGUCGAUAACUGCUCUACCUUGCUCGGUGUUCCGAGAAAUCCUGCGGACCAUAAUGGGCAGGACUCGGUCAGCAGAGCCACCCUCGCUUAUGUUGUAAAAGCUUCGGUCCCCGUUAUAGGGUAAGGCUUGACCCUGUUCAUCACUCCAGCGAUUCAAGUUUGUCGCCCACAAGGGUGUGGGAUCUUGAAACGCAGGUCGGGGGUUAAGAUUUGGGGCUUGACCCACUUAAGGUAGGUUGUUGACUUCGGGCUCGGAGUCGGAACCAUCAUAAAAGCCUUCUGCGAGGUGAUCAUCCAAAAGGAUUGGAUGGUCAUCUUCCGGCUCAUUGUCAAGCCAUCCAACAUUGACUUGGUUUGGGAAGUACGAGUCUCCGGGGAUGUGGAAUCCAACCAUGAUAUCUACGCGAGAAAAGGGGUAUAAGAAAUAAUUAAUAGACGUACUAACUAAGAUAAUUAUAAGAUGAUCCUUAUUAGUUACUCCAACAUUUGCGUAGUGCAUACCAAUCCUACGUAAUCAAAACAGGAUAGACCUUCGAAUAAGUGAUCCUAACCCUAAGUCUACAACCAAACAAGGAACAGGAAGUAAAGCAAAGAUCACAGAUUCUAAGUCUAUGCCACCCUAGUUACAUAUAACCAUAGUGUAUCCACUCAGCAACUAUUGACAUACUAAUAAAGACCUGUUUAUUUCUCAAAUAAGUAAUUAUAUUAACACAAAAUACUCCUAUAGUAUUUUAAGUUUAUGUUUUGUUCUAAUGUUCUCAUUGUAGUAGUGUUGGUAUGUUUUUAGACUUGUUGUCAUAACACAACCAUUCCUGGGCAUAUGCUAAUCACUUCUCGGACCAUCAUAGUUGAUCAGGCUAUGCCACUCCCAAAACUGACCAUACAUCCCCAAGCCUAUUUGUGAUAUCCAACAAUCAUAAUAAUUUUGUUCUGUCCUAGUGACACUGAUUUUAGUAUGAAUGCAGGUAUGUAUACUUAGUUAAAUAUUUUAUUAUUUAAAAGUAUAAACUCUUGUUCAGAGUACUUUAAUCCAUUGUGUUUAUAGUUAGUAUAUCUUUUAUGGGUUGAUAUACUCAAUUCAUUAUAAACAAUGCUCUAAUACCAAUCUGUCACACCCCAAAACCAAGAACGGCGGAAACGUUCUGGGGCGGAGGACAUCAUGUAAAGUAUCAUAACAAUGCAAAGUAGUAAACAAGCAACAACAUCAUCCAUUGCAUUAAUAGUAGAGUUUUAAUACAUGUGUGUUCUUUGUAAUGUAAUAGACACAAAAAAUGAAUGAUCAAAAUAAAAGAUGAGUCUUGACUGUGCUCCGUCUUCUCAAAACCUGUCACCGGUACCUGUCUACUGAUGACCUGAGAAUACAAGUUAUUUUGAAAGCGUAGAUCAGCAUUUAAGCUGGUGAAUUCAUAAGUACUUUAGUGUCAUUUAUUUGCAUAAUUUUGAUGUAAAUACUAGUAAAUGUUCAAUGUAAAUGUUUGUAUACGUUUGAAAACCCUAGAAAAUCCCAUAUUUCCUACUAGUAUAAAAUGUAGUCUUCUACCAAGACCCGACUGUUUUGAAGGUUUGCUUCUCUGUAUGAAUGAAGGUUUUUCCCAUGUACAACUAUUAUUAUCAAAACAUAGUCUACCUCAUCGUUUAUGUGAAUGUGUCACAAAAUAAAGAUAUUGUGUAAAAUUAUAUAGUCAUUGAAAUCGUAUCCAUUUGUCUAGGAUAAACACAACGCGGUAAAUCUCCGAACAAUACAACCGAGAACAUCCGUCGAUGAACAGGUCCCGCUGUAGCUAGCAGCCAGGUGUAGGAUGGUCAGUCCCGUAUAGUAUGUAGUAAUUCUCUUUGUAUAGGAUGUUAGUAUAGACCAUGAAUAAACUGACUCAUGUAUGUUCCCUUGUACUAGGAAUGGUAAUUAGUAUCUCCUAAACUAUACCUAUUAUAGCUUACUAGAAUGUAGUUUGAAUGUCCAAGUAUGUUCAUACACCUUUGUAGCUCAAGGGUGUUGGAACUGAAGAAGAAAUAAAGCUCUCAUAUCAAUACAUAUAUACUUGAUACAUAAGUGUAUAGAUAUGGUUUUUAACAAUAUAUAAGUUUGAAAGAGGUUUUGUAAUACAUUUAAAGGUUUUGAACAAUAAAUAAUAACAACUUGAUGUCAGUUUAUAAAACGAUUCAAAAUUAGUUUGUUUGAUAACAAAGUUUAAAGUAACUGAAAUCCAUUGUUUGAAACACAGUUUGAAGUAUAUGAAAUCCGUUGUUUGAAAACACAGUUAUAAAUCACAUGUGAUUGAUUUUAUAAUUAUGUGUUUUCUACUUGUAUUCCCCCCCCCCCAUAAAAGCAUUUAAAGUCAUUUAAAAGGAUAGAUUAAGGGGUACGAACUGCGAAUGUAAGAUCGGUAAAGGAUGCUAAGUGUCAAGUGAGGACUUGAGCACACACGGAUCCUAUUUAACAUAUAAUGACACAUAUAUGCUUACAAUUAGUGUUUAUAACAACUAAUUAUGAAAUGGAACAACCUUAGGGACUAGGAAACACUUAUAUUGAAGUGUUAAACCACAUAGGGUUGCAUAUAAGGAGUGUAGGGCCUCUUAUUAGAGUUUAUGGCCCAUAUGGUAAUAACCACAUGAGUUUACGGCCAAUGGGAAAUUUUCCCAUGAGUUUACAGCCGUAAACUCAUGGUACUAAGUACCAAUUUGUGUUAUAAGGUCCUACAUGUCAAUUUGAUAAAGUCUAAGCCUUAGGAAGGAAUGGUGGCACCAUUGCACCACUAACUAGUGUUUACGGCCCAAGGACCAUUUCUCCAUGAGUUUACGACUGUAAACUCAUGGUAUUAUGUACCAUUUCAAUGUUUAAGGUCCUUAGUUCAUGUUAGAAGUGUUCUAGACUUGAUUCCAAGGCUUUGGAGGGGAUUAGGGCUCAUUUAGACCCUUAAAUAGAGUUUACGGCCCAAGGAGGUUCCUUGGCCGUAAACUCCCUUUUGAUCUUGUUUUCUUGAUGAUUUCUAAGUGUAAUCUAGUUGAUUGAAGCAUAGAAGAAGCUAAGAAAGGAGUACUUACAAUUUAGAAGCUUGUAAAGGUGCUUAAGGCUCAAGAACACUAGUGUGUGUUCUUGGUGAAAUGAAGAACACUUGAAUAUCUAUCAAAGGAAGAGAUUUCAUGGAUGAAAUCAUACACAAACACUAGAUAAUGAAGUUUAUUAACUAAUCAAGUAAGAAAACACUUACUAAGUUGAAGAUCUAGUGAAGAACUUGGAUGAUACUUGAGAGAGAAUGAGUUGUAGGCUUGAAAAUGGUAAAAAUGACUACGUGUCAUAUUUAUACCUUAGAGUUUACGACCGUAAACUCCAUGUUAUGGUCGUAAACUCCAAACUCUUGGAUUUUUGAGACUUAAGUAUUGUACAUUUAACUCUAGAGUAUACUUCCUAUGGUUACCUCUGAUGUAUUUAAGAUCAAAACACCCAAACUGACUCCAAAACUACUAAAAAUUUGCAGCAGUAGGUUUGACUUUGAUUGAAUGUAGGGUUGGUUAUAAGAUAGAAAUUUCAAGUUGUCACAUGAUCCCUAUUUAAGGACUCUAACCCACCCUUUAGGAUCCUUCCUAACAACAGCCUCCACCCUCUUGAGCCUCCAACUCGAAACCCUAGCCCCUGAAGCAAAUCUUGAGCCUUUUUAUGUGUUUUGGGUGCAUUUUGGAAGAAAGAGAAGUCCAAGCUUGUUGAUUGUUGAAGCUCCGACUUGUGGAUCCAUAACCUACAUUUCUUUUCUCUACUCCAAAAGGUAUAAAGUUUGAUACUUGAUGAUUCAUUUGUUAGAUCUAGCUAGUGUUGGAUUUUAUGAGCUUUUUGUCCCAAAACCUUGGUCUUUGUGAGUAUGGACUACUCCAAACCAUUUAAGUUGUCAUUUCAGACGUUUUAGAGUGCAUGGUGUCAUAAAAAUUCAAUCUUGAUCCAUUCCUUUCAUCUAUGCAUGAGUUAUGGAGUUUUUGGUGAUGUUAGAAGUUAGAGUUUUGGAAUUAAGUUCUCUUUGUCCAUGCAAAUGCAUAAAGUUGGAGACUUUAUGGAUUAGAAUGUCUUUUAGGGUUAGAUAUGAGGAUUGGGUAAAGUGUCUUAAUGAUUAAGACCUUAAAAGUUGAGGUUGGAUUUAGACCGAGUAUGUUGAGUUUGGAUUUAGGCCGAGUAUGUUGAGUGUAACUUUGGCUACGCCUAACAAAGCCAGCUGCAAACCCACUUUCUACCUUUGUGCUCUAUGCUCAACGUGGAGCUUGAGUACGCCGUGCGUAAGGUCAAAAAUGUUGACCAUUGAUUUUCGUUGACUUUUGAUUAAGUGUGCCUUUUAGCCAAUUUGUGAGGGUUUGAGGUCUUAGAAGGGGUAAAAUGGUUUUCCCCCAAAUUAUGGAUUAGACUUGGCUUGGGACUAGUUGAACAUAGAAAAAUACCUUAAUUAUUAAUUAGGGUUAUUUGGUGUGAUAAAUAGGCGGAGUCCAGUUCCGGCAGUUCAGGUGUGAAUUCUAUCAGUCAUCUGUGCAAUGUGAGUUUCCUCCUUAUACUUGUGGGUCGAAGGAACCAAUGUCGAACCACUGGAUUAUCCUGUAGGAUAGUAGUGAGUCUUCUCACUAUACUUGUCUGUAUGGUAGUGUGUGUGUGUGUAUAUAUANNNNNNNNNNNNNNNNNNNNNNNNNNNNNNNNNNNNNNNNNNNNNNNNNNNNNNNNNNNNNNNNNNNNNNNNNNNNNNNNNNNNNNNNNNNNNNNNNNNNNNNNNNNNNNNNNNNNNNNNNNNNNNNNNNNNNNNNNNNNNNNNNNNNNNNNNNNNNNNNNNNNNNNNNNNNNNNNNNNNNNNNNNNNNNNNNNNNNNNNNNNNNNNNNNNNNNNNNNNNNNNNNNNNNNNNNNNNNNNNNNNNNNNNNNNNNNNNNNNNNNNNNNNNNNNNNNNNNNNNNNNNNNNNNNNNNNNNNNNNNNNNNNNNNNNNNNNNNNNNNNNNNNNNNNNNCAGCUGAGUCUAUUUGUUGUUACUAUGAUAUGUGUUGCUGUGUGUGCUGAAACUUUAGGUAGUCUCCAAGGUUGCUGAUAACCCACAGAGUGUGCUGUUUGUCCACUGAGAAUUUGGGGAGUCUUCAGGGUUGCUGAUAACCCAUAAUUGUUUAUUCGUGUUGUGUUGUAUGUGGUACUUUGGGGAACUUACUAAACUUUGUAUUUAUAAUUAUAAAUUAAAUAUUUUUCAAGUACUUAUCAGGCGGCGAAAGCAUGACUGUAUACACACAUCAACAAUUUUAUGAUUCAAGAUUCCGUAUUGUCCUCUUAUUGACUUUGAUUUUGGAAUAAUGGUUUAUGAACAAAUGGUUUAACUUUACUAAAAACAGAUGUUAUAUUAUUUUAAAAGUGAAAAAUUUAACCUUGUUUUUUUUGGAAGUUACAAUAUCGACUAUGGAAGGUGUAAUACAAUGUCUAAGCUUGAGAUUUAUCUAGAGUCUUAUUAAGCUCCUAGAUGCCUCUUACAAGAAGAUAACGUAAGAAUAAUCGCUACAUACAUGGGUGGACAUAGUAGGUUUCCCAGGGGUGGCACAAUCAAACUCUAAAAAUUUACCACUAAGUGCAAAAUUUUGUGUAUAUUUGUCAAAAUCCGUCAAAAAUUCAUCACAAAAUCCGUCAGAUCACAAAUCCAUUGGAAAUCCGUCAUAAAGUCCCAAUAAGUGUAAAUUUAAUGUAAAUCUAUUGAUAAAAUCCUUUUAGCGAUGAUUUUGGUGAAAGAUGCUGUCGUCGAAAAUGAGAUUUUUUCUAGUAGUGCUUCCCUUAAAAAAUUAUGCAACCUAUGCUAUAACUUUCUGAGUCCGCCACUAGUUGCACAAAAACACUAUCAAGAGGUUCACUUAUAUUAUACUAAUAGAUCUUAAUCAUUUUUAGGACACAAACUUCAAAGAUUUGUCAAUGAUGCAAGAUCUUCAUUGAGACAUUUUUUGUAGGAUUAUAUCACAAAAUUCACAAAAGCGAAAUCCCAUUAAUGGAAAAGAGGAGGUAGGAGGUAAGUCCCAUAAGGCUAUACAAUGUACAAGUAACGUGAAACACGUUAUGCCAAUGUGGUGUAUGUUAGGAUGCAUGAACACUGCUUCUCUCUUCGUUAUCCGACACGACAUAAUGGUCCGUUCACUUCUUCACAAUACCUUAAGGGAACAUUAAAAAAAUGGCAUACUUCAUUCGCAUUUAGUCCUAGAAACAACAAAUAUAUAUCAAGAAUUCUAAAAAUACUUAACCCCAGAAACGCACAUUCACUUUCAUCCAGAUUUAAUGGAACACAUGUGGAACACUCAGCAUGCCAACAAUGAUUACGAUGAAGAGUAAAAUUUUUCCGGGUUUUUAAGUAAUUUCCAAUUACUUAUUUUUUUUAAUGUUUUGUAUUUUUUUUAAUUAGUAAAAUGAUUUUAUUUUAAUCUAAGACAAUUUGUUUUAAUUACAUAAAUAGUAAGGUAUAAAUUAUUUUAAGUUUAUGAAGUGGUGAAUAUUUCCUAAGAUAAGUGGCGAUUAAAUGAUGUUGAUAUGACUAUGAAAUAACAUAUUUUUUAUAUUAUAAGGUUAGAAAUAUAUUCAUCGUAGUCUAAUAAUAAUGAUAAUAAUAAUAUGACAUGUUAUGUGCAUUGUCAUUAAAAUGUCAUUAUAGAUCAUAAAACAUUAACUCAUAAUCAACACAACUGUAUUUAACAUGAAAUAUAAGGUAAUAAUUAUUUUAAAAAGAUUUCUCAAGUUUAAACGACCUAAUUGAUCAAAAAGAUCAAUCAUGAUUUUUAUAUAUUUACCCGAAUAUGCAAGGAGUAAUAAUGUUAAUAUAACAAAAUUUCUCUAAGUUUAAAUUCCUUAAUCGAUCUAAAAAUUAAAGAUCAAUCAUGAUUUUGAUAUAUUUAUCCGAAUGUGAAAAAUAUAUUAUUUGUAGACGUAUGAGUAAAGUUUUCCAAAAAUUAAAUGGCCAUUGUUUCAUUGCGAAGAAAAAGGAUUUGAUUCCAAUUUCCAAGUCUCGCCCAAGUCGACGAGGAGGAGGGUCGUGAUGGACGACCCCCUCAAACACUCCAAGAAUCUUCAGGGCCAUUUCAGUAAUUGCAAGUAUCGUGGCAACACUCUUCCGAAAGACAAGGCAUCAUCGAUCUGGACGACCCCGUCGUACACACCAAAGCCACUGGGGGUAUGUCCGUAAUUUCACACGUAGUCUGACGUGGGGAUCCAUGGGUUUUAAGAUGGUCCGCCUCUCUCCUAAAUCCUAAUCCUCUCGCACAGACGAUCUUCUCUCAUCCACUUAACCUUCAAACUUUCAGACAUAAAGAAAAAACAAAAAAAAAGGGUCGUCUGCUAUCGUGCGCCAUCUAAGGUUCCGGCGACUGUAUGAGCGGAUCUGGUGGAAAUAACGGUGUUGCAACGAUGGCAGGAGGAGCAGCAGAACAGCAGUACGCGAAGGCGAAGAUAUCGGUCUGGUGGGACAUAGAGAACUGUCAAGUGCCUAAAGGCUGUGAACCUCAUUCGAUCGCUCAGAAUAUAAGUUCCGCUUUAGUUAAUAUGAACUACUGUGGGCCAGUAUCGAUAUCCGCCUACGGCGACACCAAUCGGAUCCCUGCCUCCGUUCAGCAAGGUCUCAACAGUACCGGCAUCGCCUUGAAUCACGUGCCCGCCGGUAUAUACUCAUAUUACAUCACAUGCAUAAUUCUAUGAAACGUAGUCUAGUAUCAUUUUCAACUGGAAAUGAUAAUUGUGUUUGUUUUCCUUGCUUUAAAUUAUCAGAUUGUGUUGAAAACCGAGUUCAUAAACCCUAACACGAAGUAUUAAGUAUACGUAUACUAUAUUUAUUCAAAUACAUACUAAUAUUUAAGGAAAAAAUAGUUUUUUAAGUUGACUUUUCUUAGUUAGAGUGUUGCACUGAACGGAUCAUGGCGAAUUGAGCUUAUGAGCCCUGAUAUUGGUUAUUUGUUUUAAUUCAAGGUUAGAUCUGUGGAUUCAGUGUGCCAAAGGCCUUUUUGAUGUAUUUUUUGGCAAUUUGUAGAUGAAGCAUGUGGUCAGUGUUGAUGUCUGUACUAAUAUUUGUCAUCUAUUCUGAACAAAUAAAAAUUUGACAGUUCUAAUGCUUCUAAAUGAUUCAUGCUCAAAGAAAAUGCAGUUAUCAUUUGCUUUUCCAAAAUUAUCUUUUUGAAUUUUGUAUAUUUGGAUUUAGAUGACUAUGCUUUGGCAAGUUAUUAUUGUUGAUUUUUAGGGUUGAUCUUAUACCUUUGAUGUUCAUUGUUUUUCGAAAACAUGUUGGUUGUUAAUACACUAGAUGAUUUGCAACGAUUUUCUUUUGCAUUUUAGGCUAAGUUUUUAAUUCAAUUUACUUUUUUUUUAUCGCCAGCAAUCACCACAAGAUAUUGGUGCCAUUGAUUUUGGUUCAUAUGUUUUCUUCAUUUUUUUCCCUCUUAUUUGUACAAUCAAACUAUGUUGUAAAAUUAUGUAUUAAAUCAAACAUUGCAUUUGUUUUUGAAUGAAGGGAAUAUUCUAAAUUUGAUCAAAGUUGGGUAUGAAAACUAUGGAAGUACACAAAUGAACAUAUUGAAUCUAUUUAUAUUGCAUUAAACCCUUUUUCUUUUUUCUGUAUGCCUGAUCUAUUGUUAUUUACAUGAUAGUCCCUACCUAUCUUAAUUAAACUUUUUUUUUAAUGAUCAGGUGUGAAAGAUGCAAGUGACAAGAAAAUUUUGGUAGACAUGUUAUUUUGGGCAGUAGAUAACCCUGCCCCAUGCAAUUAUCUGUUAAUUUCUGGUGAUCGGGAUUUCUCAAAUGCAUUACAUCAAUUAAGAAUGAGGAAAUACAACAUUCUUUUAGCUCAACCUCAGAAAGCUUCCAUUUCCCUCCUUGCAGCUGCUAAAAGUGUAUGGCUAUGGACCAGUCUUUUGGCUGGAGGUCCACCAAUAACUACCGGUGAAUCACCCACACCUGAUACCACCUACAACCACACUCCACCUCCUAACUCACUACAUACUCCGGCUCCCGAGUCAACUCAGAAUCAGAUGCAUCAACCUUUAGAUAACAACAUAUAUCCAAACCCCCAUCCGGGAUUACAGAAAUUUUCAAGUUUGGAAAUAAGAAGAUCA